AUGGGGGCACACCUGGGAAGGGGGGUACAGGAAGGAAAGGGAAUGGUGGAAGAGGAAAUGGGAAGUCUGGCGGUGGAGACGGGGGCGAUGGUGGAGGAGCUAGUCCUGGAACCGGCGGCAAGGAUGGUGCUGCAGGUUCUGGAGGAGGCUGCAAUGGGUCUGGAACUAGUGGAGCUGGUGGAGGCUGCAAUGGGUUUGGAACUAGUGGAGCUGGUGGCGGCUGAAAUGGGUUAGGAGGGAGCACUGGGGGUGGCAGAAGUGGGUUUGGAGGAAGAAUGGGCGGCGGCAGAAGUGGGUUUGGAGGAAGAAUGGGCGGCGGAAGAAGCUGGUUGGGAUGAACACUUGGUUUUUGGCUGCAUAAGGUUGGUUGUUUGAAUGGCUUGAAGGUGAAAAACCCAGCUGAGAAAACAUGGGUUCCUUGCUUCCUUGACUUGAGAUGGAGUGAAGAGGAAGUAGCAGAUGAGGCCACUGCACAAUAUGGUUCACUGCUUUUAAUCAGUUUAACUUCACAUCCCUCGAUUUUCUUCACAUGUUUGCUCACAGAAAAAGGCAAAUGAACCUUGAAUUCCCCAUGCCUAUUGGUUUUCACUUGUUGCCUAAAGCUUGCCCUUGAGCUUUUCCCAUCUUUGCAUUCGACUGCAACAGUUGCACCUGCAGAAAAAAAAGAAAAACUUGUAUCAACUGAGAAAAGAGAAGAUGGAGUUUGGGAUUCAAUUUAAAACCUGAAAUGAAAUGGGUUGGCCUUGAGAAGUCAGACUGGAAACAUGUAUCACAGUAAACAGUUCCAACAACAACAGCAGAUUGCUGUUGCUGAUAUCCAUGGCUACCCUCUGAGUAACCAUUAAAAAUGAUGAAACAAAGCAGCCAUGUAAAGAAAAACCCAGGCAUUAUUUCAACCUCUGUUAUCCUUACUGGAACAGCUCUCCAUAAGGAUAUGUUGUUUAUAACUUUAUAUACUGUUGUUGUUUAACCUUUAUGUGGUUCAUGCAAAAACCAGCCAACUGCAUUAAGUUGAAGCCGUGAAUAUAGGUUUAUUUCCCACAAUCAAACAGCUCAAAAGGGUAAUUUGCAGAUGUGUGAAUUGAAAGCUCUCCUAGAACCAAAACAAAAGUAACAUUCCUUUUAACACAGUUGAUUUUGUUACGUUGUUGCAGUGGUAGUAGUAAAACUUUUUUUCAACUUUUUUGUAAUUUGGUCCCCCUUUUGGUUCACGAGACCUCUUAGAGUAGCCACAAUAUAAGUCCAUGUGUCUCUCCCCAAAUGCCAUUUCUGUCAACUUGAAAAGGACAUUGUGAUUUUGCUAUUCAAAUUCCAACAGAACCGCCAACAUGCUAUGCUGUUGUAGGCCGUGUAGCUCUUACUUUCAUAAUCUAUCUCGGUAAAUUAUAUCUAAAGUUAUCGAAUAUAGUUCACAACUUUGCGGUGCAAUCAGAGACAUCCUCGAGGAAUAGAAGGUAAAAACAUUACUUUGAGUUCAAUUUUCGAUGAGAUAAUCAUUAAUUCAUUUACGUACGAAACUAAGUUCUUGGAACUGGCCGACAAAGCGGUUAAAUCUUUUCGAUGAAUUAAACUCUUACAGAAGAAUAAAAAAUAUUGUACAAUAAUUAAACUUUAAGCUCUAUAAAUAAAUUAACUAAUGAGAAACAUAAAAUGAAGCUUUAACAGGAUUAGUUCUAUUGAUUAGAUUUUUCUUAAACGAGUCCACACCAUUUUUUUAAUAUGCACCAAAAUGACAUCUUCAGUCAAGAAAGAUGCACUAAAACAUCUCUUGUCUCUCUGUCUCCAUAUUACAUGCAAAUAUACGUUCCAAGUAAGCUUGAGUAUAGCAACAAACAAUGACUUUCUUUUAAAUUUUAAUAUCGCUCAAGUUAACUCUUAACUCCAAAUUUCCAUAAUCUUAUAAAUGGAGAUUCUCACACCUUUCUUAAAAAAUACACUAAAUCAAUAAAAUAUAAAAAUUUGAUUCAGGAAAAUUUAUAUAAAUACAAAAAUUAUAAAUUAAUGGAAGGGUGAUUGACAGUUUACUAUCCAAAAGAAUCCCUAUGUUGGUGGCUAUAAUUAUUUUACUUUUAAUAAGAGACAUUUUACUGUAUACUUGAUAAUAGACAUAUAAUAAAGACAAAUUCAAGUAACGUAUUUGAAGUUCACGGGUGUAAAGAAAGUUCGAGUGUUUUUAAAUAAAGGUUGUCAUUAUCUUGUUGGAUUUUUUCAUAUGGGCGGGAUAAAAAUCCAAUAUGCGUUCCACAUUCUCACCCUCACACUUAUAGGAAUUUAAGAAAAAAAAACUCAUUCAGUAAUUAAAUAUAUUAAAAAUUGAUUUAACCAAGCUUUUAAUUUAAUUGUACUGAUUUUCGGUUUAAUAACAUUAUUGCUUGACAUUGAUAUAUAAUAUGAUGUUAUGAGUUGAUAAGUUCAAUAAUCUUAAGCUAAACUUUAGCCAAGAUAUAUUAGAUUGAGAAAUUAAGCGCAAUUAUAUGCGAGUAUGUUAUGUGUAGCUAUCAUAUGCGUGUUUUAGUCUAGCUAAUAUAGUUUGUUAGUUUUAAUUUAAAGAUUAAUUUUUAGUCUAUUUGUGUUCUAAUAGUUUGAUUACUCAAAUAAUUCGUUUAUGUUGUAAUAAUUUAAUACUUGUGAUUAAUUAAACAUGAAUUUAUAUUGUAUUGCAUUCAUAAUAUUUUUAAAAGAAUCUCUUAGAAAAAGAAAUUAGGGUCUUUAUAGUUUUAGAAAAAUAGUUUUUCUUUUAGUUCUUCAUUUUCUUGGAAAAUAGAAAAUAUAUACAUAGAUAUUUUUUUAACAAUUUUAAAAUCUCAAAUCUAUUACCCUAGUUCAAGUUCAUAUAAAAGUAAUUUUAUUUUUAUUUUUAUUUUUUUCUCAUGUUUCUAUUAUAAUUAAGAGAAAUUAUUUAGUACACUACUAUUGGAGUUUUUAAACUCCACAAGCAUAGUUAAUAAGUUGACAAGUGUCCUAUAAAGAUAUAGUAAAAAGAUUAAAAAAUAAAUAUUUAAAAAAGAAAAAUAUGCUAAUUUUUUAAGGUUACUUAUAAAAUAAAAAAAAUGCUCACACUACAUGUUUUUCAAGUUUCAUUAUUGAAAACAAAUUUUUAUUUAUUGUUCAAUUUUCAACAAAAUUUUAAAAUGAAAAUUAUUUUUUAAAAAUGAAAAUAAAAAAUAUUUUUAGAUCAAACAAAAUCUAGACUUCUAUUAAUUUUUAUUUUUUAUUAUGCAAGUAUUUAAAAAAUUUUAAAUUUUAUGUAUUUCCUUUUAAUUUUUAACUUUUUAUAAUUUAUAAUUUAUAAUUAUUAAAUUGACAUAUAAAACAAAAUAAUACUAUAUCAAUAAUAAAAUAUAAGGAAGAAAUACCACACCGUCUACCAUGUAAGUCUAUUAAAAAAAUUAAUGAUUCAUUUAAAAAAAACAACGAUUUAAUUCAAAAUUAAAGGUUAAAUGUCAAAUUGCUCCAAAAAAAUUACAUCAUAUAUCAAUAUCGUAUUAUAUAUAUAUCUAUAUAUAACAAUGUACGUGGAUUAUUUUUGCUUUAGGUGGCAAUCUCUCAUUUUUUUUUCUUUUAAUUUCUAAUUUUUUAUUAGUAGAUAAGAUGGACUUUACAAUUUUAUUUUAAAACAUUUUUUUGAUGAUUUUAAAGUUAAUUAUCAAAGGAUUGUAAAAUUAAUGCUUUAGCCGUAUGAAAAAUGGUAACUUACUUUUAAUAUUUUAAAAUCAAUUAUAAUAUUUUUAUCUACUUUUUGAAUUUUAUUUUCUUUCAAAUCACUUUUAAAAUAUUCUAAAUUUAUGUUAAAAAAUUAAACAACUUCAAAAAAAUAUUAAAUUCGCAUUUAAUAUUUUUGUAAUUAAAACAUUAUACACAAAUUAACUAUUAUUAACUUUUUCCAAGAAGUAUUAAUUAUGAUCACAAAAAAUGUAAUUAGUUAAACGAAAUUAUAGAUGUUAAAUUCAAUAUAUAUAUUAAAAUUCUUUAUUUAUUUAAAAAUAUCAAAAUCUAAUAUUUAUGAAAAAUGGAUUUAAAAAUUUUCAAAAUCAAUUUAAAUACUAUUAAAAAUGAAAAAAAUUAAAAAUAGAAUUUAUAAACAAUUUAAAAAAAUAUGGUAACAAAUUUUAAAAUAACAAACAUUGUCACAUCCCAAAAAAAUGGGUUAGUAGAAUCAGAGUUUAUGAAACCGAGAGUAGUCACGGCCCGAUUUAUAAGGUUAUCAUUGUGCAUUUGUUAAAUAAGAAAGUUAUUGGUCUAAUGGUUAGGUGUUAGUACAUUUAUCCUUGAAAUCCAAGUUCAAAUUUCUUCCAUUGCAUUAGUUUUAUUUUGUACAAUUUUGCUCCAAACCCUAGCAAGUGUCAUGCCUUAUUUUAAGAAAAAAUGUUAUAAGAAUUUAAAUAAAAUUGAGUAUCUGGCCUAGUUGUUAAGUAAUAUAGCUAUCCCUAGAGAUCUUAGGUUUGAGCUUACUUUCUCCCAUUUUAUUAUUUCUGGCAAACUAGAGUAAAGUCACACCUCAAAAUAAAUAUAUACGAUUAAAAAAUAAAAUAAGCAAGAAAUAAUACAUAAACUAAAUGGUUGGGCAUAUCCUCCUUAAAAGAAAUAAUAUAUAUAUAUAGUACAAUCACUUCCUCUCAUAUUUUUUUUUGACAAAGGCUUGUUUAAAUGUCUGAAUUGGCUUGUUUAAAUGUCUGAAUUAAAUAAAAAAUGAGCAAUAGGCUUAAUGGUUAAAGCGCUAGAGCCUUUCCCACAAGACCCAACUUUGAGCCCUCUUUUUCUUUUUAAUUUCGUAAUUUUUUGGAAAAAAUGUCCUAAUAUAUAUAUACGAUUAAGUGCCUAAAAUAAGUAAGAAAUGAGCUAUAGGCUCAAUGGUUAAAUGUUAGUGUCCCUUCCUAAAGGUCCAAGGUUUGAAUCCCUCCCCUUUCAUUAUUUCUAAUUUUUCGGCAAACCCUUAAUUCUAACCUUAAUUACUGCCCUUUUGUUCCAAAUUUGGGUAAAUUGUAACCUCCCUAACUCAGCCUAGACGUUAGACCUGAAUUUGGGAGAUUACAUUAGCCACCGAGAUGGCUUAUCAUGGUUAUCGAAGUUUUUGAAAAUAGUCGUCUUUAAAACAUUUGUUUGAUUUAAUAGAAAACUUAGUUAAUUUCCAAAUAAUUUAUUACUUGAAAUCUUAAUUACAUUUUAGCAACAGAAAAGUGAUAACUAUUUGUUUUUCAUAAAAACUGGGGUUCAUGCAUAAUUAAUUAAUAAUCAUAAUUCGAAAGCUUAAAUUAAAUGUCAUGUAAAAUAAAGCAAACCUAAAACCUAAUUCCCAUGCCAUAGUUCAAAAUAAAGUAUUAUAGUCCUCGAAUAGUAAAAUAAAUUAAAAUAAUAAGCCUUAAUAAAUCGAAAAUAAAAUAGAUUGAGCCAAGACCCUCCGGAUGCCACGCCCGCGUCCUAACCUGGUGGGUUAUUUGUAAGGAUGAAAAUUUAAGGGGGAGUGAGUUAUGUCACUCAAUGUGAUUCCAUUUAUUAUGAAAUCAAUGCAAAUAGUUGGUAAGACACAUUAAAUAAUGUACCAUAAAAUAACCAUAAUCCGACAACAAUUCGAUAUAUAGGUUUUUCAAUGCAACCAUCACAAAUAAAUAGAAACUAUCAAUAAUGGUUUUCAGAAUAACCAAUUUUCAGAUUUUCCCACUAUAUACCUAUAUACACACAGAUAUAUAUAUCAUAACAAAAUUUCUAGAUUUCUUUGUUCAUGGUUUAUAAGAUGCCAUACAGUCUCAAUUUUUAACAAAUUAGAUCCUACCCCACCGCUACACACCACAAUGGGAGUUCGCUUGAACUCCCUUCUCCAACACACCGAGAUGUGGAUAAACCACAACUAGUUCGUAGAUAAUAACUAUUAUUUGGUUGUGAACACACAACAAGUCCCCACGGAUGAAAUCCGCCUUUGGCUGUGGAUUCACAGCAAAAAGUUCAGCAGAUGAAACUUGCUUUUGGUUGUAGAUUUUACAGCAUAAUCCACAGUUGGAAUUUUCCUUUGGCUGUGGAUACACAACAAUACCCGUAGAUGGAAUCUGCCUUUGGUCGUGAGUACAACAAAAUAGAUAAACUGCCAAACUUCCUCCAAUCACAUCGUUUCAACUCAUGCAAUUCAAUGUAACAUAUUUAAUAUAGGUCACAUAUGAUAGCAUUUAAUGUACUAACACAUGGAAAAUUAGUAGGAAAAAUCAUGUUUUUCAUGUAUUCGGAUUAAGAGUAACAUAGGGCAUGUCGUUCAUACGAUAGUAAAUGUAUAAAUACAAUAGUCAUGUAUGUUAUUCAUAAUUCAUGCAGUGAUAUAUAAAUAUGAUAUCAAUUUUACCCAGUAAGGCAUGUAUAAUAAUAUGUUUCAUAUUUUUAGGGACUUAAUUGUACAAAAGUAAACAUUAAAAUAGUUCAGAUUUCAAUCAGGGGCUAAUCUAAACAAAUCUUCAAAACUCAGGUUUUAAUCAGAAUUGGAAUGUUCUUAUCGAUUCUUGGCAACAUUAGAGAUGAAAUUUGAUGGCGUUACGCUAAACUGAUAAGAAGAGCGGUUGAACAAAGAUCAUUUUCAGAUUGCGGAUCAAAAUAAAAUUUUCAGCAAUAAAAGGAAAAUAUUUGCAAAGGAGAAGAUGAAAAAGAAAAGGGGAAGAAAUAAGAAAAAAAAAGUAAAAUUUUAGUUCAAUUAGAAAAGAGACUAAAGUUCUAUUUUGAUUUGGAGAAGAGAUUAAAUACCUAAGGUUUUUUUUUUAACUUGAGGGGAUGUUUAGGUAAUUAGCCCAUCUUGCCGAAACUAGAAAAGAUAAAUAGAAAUAAAGAAGUGUUUGGUGUGGCUCAACUUGGGAAAUAAGGGGGAGUAAAUGCUUAACCAUUUAGGCUACUACCUACUUUUGACAUGUUUUUACUCUAUUUAAAUAUAUUUUAGGGGGAUUUUCAUUCUAGUUUGCUGAAAAAUUAAAAUAAAGAAAUGGGAGAGGAGUGGAUUAAACCUGGGAUCUCUAAGGAGUGUGCUAAGAUUUUAACCAUUAAGACUAAGACUCAUUUCUUGGUUGAUUAUUACUUCUAACACUAUAUAUUUUGGGGUUUACAGUUCUCCCCUCCUUAUGUAAAUUUCAUUCUCGAAAUUUACCUAGUUCGAAUGGAUGAGGAUACUGUUGAUGGAAUGUGUCUUCUGGUUCCUAUAUAUCCUUUUCUGUGCUAUGGUUCUGCCACAAAUUCUUUUACAAGAGAGAUUCGUUUCCUUCUCAGAACAUUUACGUCACGAUCUAGAAUUUGAAUGGGUUCUUCCUCAAAGGACAAAUCCGGUCUCACAUUGAUCUUCUCAAUUGAAACAAUAUGGGAAGGAACAGAUCAGUACUAUUUUAACAUAUAGACAUGAAAAAUUUCGUGGAUUCAAUCCAGCUCAGGAGGUAAUUCUAAUUGAUAAGCAACUAGACCGAUUCUCUUAAGGAUUCAGUAGGGUCCUAUAAAUCUCAGAGUUAACUUACCCUUUCAACCGAACCAUAACACCUUUCGCCAUGGAGACACUUUCAGGAAGGCUUGAUCGCCGAUAUUGUAUUCAAUAUCCUACCUUUUCAAGUUUGCAUAUGAAUUCUAUCUACCAAAAGCCACUUUCAUUCUAUCCUGAAUCAACCUUAUUUUCCCCUCAAAUUCUUGUACCAACUCGGGACACAAAGUUUUUCUUUUACCUAGUUUGGUCCAACACAAAGUUGUUUGACAUUUACGUCCAUAUAGGGCUUCUUAAAGUGCCAUUUAGAUGUUCAAUUGGAAGCUAUUGUUGUAGACAAAUUCAGCUAAGGAUAAAUGUUCUUCCCAACUGUCUCAGAAUUCGAUAAUAUAGCCUCUUAACAUGUCUUCCAAUAUUUGGAUAACUCAUUCAGAUUGCUUGUCAGAUUGUUGAUAGAAGGCAGUGCUAAAAUCCAAAUGAGUACUUAACGACUCUUAUAACUUCUUCUAGAAUCGAGAUGUAAAUCGGGGAUCUCGAUCUGAAAUAAUCGAUAUGGGCACCUCAUGCAACCUCACAAUCUCCAAAAUGUAUAACUUAUCUAGCUUCUGUAAUGAAUAAUCUUUACGGACAAGUAAGAAGUGUGCUGAAUUUGUUAACCGGUCUACUAUUACCUAAAUUGAAUCUUUCUUAGUAGGUGUUAAGGGUAACCAACUAACAAAGUCCAUCGUUAUUCUUUCCCACUUCCACUACGGUAUUUUGAUGGAUUGAAGCAAUCUAGAAGAAAAUUAGUUUUCAGCUUUCACUUGCUAACAUGUUAGGCAUUUGGCCACAAAUUCAAUCACAUCUCGUUUCACGCAGGCCAUUAGUACAACUCCUUUACAUCCCGAUAUAUCUCAUUUCCUCUAGGAUGCAUGGUAUAAGAGCUAGCAUGUGCUUCCCGAAGUAUGCUUUGCCUUAAUUCAUUUUCAUUCGGCGCAUAAAACCUUCCUCAAAAGCACAAGAUGCCAUCAUCACUAAACCCAAAAUCUUCAGUUUUUCCUCCAUCCACUUGUUUAAUUCGAGGUAACAAGGAUAUCUAAAGGUUGUUUAGUUUUGAUUUCAUUUUCUAGAGUGGGUUUCACUUGUAGUCCAACUAACAAGCCCCCAUCAUUUAUUAAAUUCAACCUAGCAAACAUUACCCUUAAAUCAGUCAUCUAUUUUCUACUUAGGGAAUCUACUACAACAUUGGCUUUCCCGGGGUGGUAUUCAAUUACACAGUCAUAAUCUUUUAAUAGCUCUAACCACCUCUGUUGCCUAAGGUUCAAUUCUUUUUUGGUGAGAAGGUAUUUAAGACUCGUAUGAUCAGUAUAAAUGUUACACUUUUCCCCAUACAAGUAGUGUCUCUGAAUUUUUAGUGUAAAAACUACUACUACCAACUCUAAGUCAUGAGUCAAGUAGUUGCACUCAUGCUUCAAUUGCUUUCACGCAUAGGCAAAUACUUUACUACCUUACAUCAACACACAACCAAGGCCGAUAUGGGAUGCAUUAUUGUGCAUCAUAUAUUCUUUUCUCGAUUCGAGCUGAAUCAACACGGAAGCUUGGGUUAACACCGAGUUAAGCUUUUCAAAGCUAGAUUGUUGCUCAUCCAUCCACUUAAAUGGAAUAUCCUUUCUCAACAACUUGGUUAGGGGUGCGACUAUUAAGGAAAAGCCUUUAACAAAUCUACAGUAGAUCCCAGCCAAACCUAGAAAACUAUAGAUUUCAGAAACAUUUUUGGGUUGUUUCCAUUCAAUGAUCACUUCUAUCUUCUUUAGAUCUACUCGGACACCCUCUAUGAAUACCACAUGACCCAGAAUGAUAACCUCCUUAAGCCAGAAUUCGCAUUUACUUAACUUCGCUUACAACUUCUUCUCUUGGAGGAUUUGUAGAACCUUCCUAAGGUAUUCAUCAUGUUUGAGUUUGAUUUAGGAGUAAACUCAGAUAUCAUCAAUAAACACCAUAACAAACUGAUCAAAUAAGGGUUGGAACACUUGGUUCAUUAAGUCAAUAAAGGUGAUAAGAGUAUUGGUUAAACCGAAUGGCAUUAUAAGGAUUUUAUAGUGGCCUUAUCAGGUUUUAAAAGUAGUUUUGGGUACAUCUAUCUCCUUCACCUUGAGUUGAUAACACCCCAACCUUAGAUCUAUUUUGGAAAACACAGUUGCACCUCUAUAUUGGUUGAAUAGAUUGUCGAUCCUAGGUAAAGGAUAUUUAUUUUUGACAGUCAACUUGUUUAGCUACGGAUAAUCUAUGCAAAGCCUUAGGGAACCAUCUUUCUUUUUUAUGAAUAGGACUGGAGCUCCCUACGGAGAAACAUUGGGUCUAAUAAACUCGUGAUCCAAAAGUUCCUAAAGUUUGAUUUUGAACUCUUGUAACUCAUUUGGUGCAAUACAGUAUGGAGCAAUGGACACCGGAGUAGUUCCUAGCAACAAUUCAAUCCCGAAUUCCACCUCACGAUCUGGAGGUAAACCUGACAACUCCACAGGAAACAUAUUUGGGAAUUCCAUAACGGUUCAGAUGCUAUCUAUGGUGGUACUAUCGACAUUCCCAUCCAUCACAUAAGCUAGGUAUGCUUAACAGCCCUUACAAACUAACUUCUAAGCGAUUAUAGCAGAAAUUACAUUAGACAGAUAGUCCCAACGAUCCCCAACCAUAAAAAUUUCUCUCCCUUCGGUUGUUUUCAAUGUUACCCGAUUAGAGACACAAUCUAAGCUAACUUGGUGUUCUACUAACCAAUCCAUACCCAGAAUCAAAUCGAACUCCCCAAAAGGUAACUCUAUAAGAUCUGCGGGAAACACUACCCCUUGAACCUCCAACGAACAUCUCUUGUAGAUUUUAUUCACAAUAACAGAUUGUCCUAAGGGGAUUACUACAGUUAUAUCAGUAAUGGUUCCCUAUACCCCAACACCCAAGUUUUCAGACAUUUUACAAGAAACAUAAGAGUGGGUGGAUCCUAUAUCAAUUAGGGCAAAGUAUGAGAUGAAAUUAAUGGUAAAGAUACCUACCAUAACAUCAGACGCAUCUCUUUUCUCAUGUCCCCUAUCGGUAUAAAAAAGGGCAGGUGGUCUAGCCUUAGUUCAGUUUACACCGGUAGCAACAGUGUUCGCAACUCGAUUCUGCUCACAACCCCUCGGAGGUAACUGGCCCGCACUCUGAUUUUAGGCCUGAUUUUAGACUGGAGCUUGUGUCUGCCUGAUUCGUCAAAGAAAUUCCUUUUCCAUAUACUUCAUCAACCCAUAUUUAAACCCACAUUUAAAGCAAGCACCCAGUUUCUUCCAAAAAUUGCUCGAGUUUCACUACUCACAAUGCUUACAAGAAUUGGGCUAAUCCCUAGUGUUACUCACCACAACCCUUUGCUGCGAUCUACCCUCUCUAGUUUAUUUUGCAGUGCAAGGGUUUGAAUUAGCGGAACCAAAAUCUCUUUUAGAUGGGACCAUACUUUUCUCCCAUUGCUCAUGAUUUACAUGUUUGAUAUCUUCAACGAUUUUAGCUUUCCCCAUUAGGGUCUCAAACACCCAUUCUUGGUGUGGAGUAACUUGUAUCUUACGGUCAAAUCGUAACCCGUUUUCAAAUCAUACACAUUUGUCUUGCUCCGUGGCAACCAUAUCCUUACAAUAUCAGUUGAGCCUUAGGAAUUCAGCCUCAUAUUUUGCCACAGAUUUGUCUCGUUAUUUUAGCUCAAUGAACUCGAGCCUACGGGUUUCUACAUACCUCGUACCCACAUACUUCUUUUGGAAGGCCUCAUGGAAAUACUCUCAGGUGAUCUGCUCAGCCUAUGUACCCCUUAUCAUAGACUGCCACCAAUAAUAGGCCUCAUCCCUAAGUAAGGACAUUAUGCCCUUUAGUUUCUGCUUCGGACUAUAGUCUAAGUCCUCUAGAAUCCUUUCUGUCGACUCCAUCUAAUACUCAGCUAUACUGGGACUUGUACAAGCAAUACCUUUGAAUAUUUCCGCCCCAUUCGAUCAGAGUCUCUCUGUAAUAGAUUUGCGGCUCCCCAAUGCAAUUUGGGCUUCAGCAACCCUUUAUAACACUCUCAAGAUUUCCUAUGUCACAGCUUCAUCGUCAUUUUCAUAUCCUUUGCCACCAUUGGUGGUAAAGUUGUCAACAUACUCAUCCUCAAAAAUCGGGUUUUCACCUUGAAAGGUGGGCGGCUUUACAAGUGCAACCCUAUGCGACCUACCCUUACCACGUCUACCUUAAAUGUUCAUAGUGUUUCCAAAAAUUUAAGUUCUAAGGUAUAUCUACAGUUUCACACAAGAGUUCAAUCAUUAGUCUUUAUUCAUAAUAUAAAGUUUAUUGUAUAUCUAAAUUUUUAACAAUAGCUAAAGUAAGUCCAACACCGGAGUCUCGAAUUUUAAUUUCCUGAGGAAAAUCAAUUUUUAAAAUAUUUAUGACAUUAUUUUUUCCCAAAAUACCCCUUUGAUGCAUGCAUGGACGUUUAUUCAAAUUUUUAUGAUCCAAGUUUAGAAAACAUAGGCUUUGAUACCACCAAAUGUAACCUCUCUAACUAGGCCUAUACAUUAAACCCAAAUUCGAGAGAUUACAUCAGCCACCAGGAUAGCCUAGUAGGGUUAUCAGAGUUUUUGAAAACAAUUGUCUUUAAAAUAUUUGUUUGAUUUAAUAGAAAACUUAGUUAAUUUCCAAAUAAUUUAUUACUUGAAAUCUUAAUUACAUUUUAGUAGUGAAAAAGUGAACUAUUUGUUUUUAAUAAAAAUCGAGAUUCAUGCAUAAUUAAUUAAUAAACAUAAUUUGAAAACUCAAAUUAAAUGUCAUGUAAAAUAAAGCAAACCUAAAACCUAAUUUCCGUGCCACGGUUCAAAAUAAAGUAUUUUAGUCCUCGAAUAGUAAAAUAAAUUAAAAUAAUAAGCCUUAAUAAAUCAAAAAUAAAAUAGAUUGAGCUGAGACCCUCCGAAUGCCAUGUCCGCGUCCUCACCUAGUGGGUUAUCUAUAAGGAUGAAAAUUUACUAGGAAAUUAGUGCAAACAGUUGGUAAGACACAUUAAAUAAUGUACCAUAAAAUAAUCAUAAUCUGACAACAACUCAAUAUAUUAGUUUUUCAAUGCAACCAUCAUAAAUAAAUAGAAAUUAUCAAUAAUGGUUUUCAGAAUAACCAAUUUUCAUAAUUGCCCACAAUAUACAUAUAUAUACACACAUAUAUAUAUCAUAACAAAAUUUCUAGAUUUCUUUGGACAUGGUUUAUAAGAUGCCAUACAAUCUCAAUUUUUAGAAGACUAGAUCCUACCCCACCACUACAGACCACAAUGGGAGUUCCCCUUAACUCCCUUCUCCAACACACUGAGAUGUGGAUAAACCACUACUGGUUCAUAGAUAUAACUACUAUUUGGCUGUGAAGACACAACAAGUCCCUACGGAUAGAAUCCGCAUUUGGCUGUGGAUGUAUAGCAAAAAGUCCUACAGAUGAAACCUGCUUUUCACUGUAGAUUUUAUAGCAUAACCCUAGUUAGAAUCUGCCUUUGGUUGUGGAUACACAACAGUACUUCCAGAUGGAAUCUUCCUUUGGUUGUGGGUACACAACAAGAUAAAUAAACACAGAUAAACUGCCAGACUCCAAUCACAUUAUCUCAACCCAUGUAAUGCAAUAAGGUAUAUUUAAUAUAUAUCACAUAUGAUAGCAUUUAAUGUAUUAACACAUGGAAAAUCAAUAGCAAAAAUCAUGAUAUUCAUGUAUCAGAUUAAGAGUAAUGUAAUGCAUGUCGUUCAUACGGUAGAAAAUGUAUAUAUACAAUAGUCAUGUAUGUUAUUCAUAAUUCAUGCAGUGAUAUAUAAAUACGAUAUCAAUUUUAUCCAGUAAGGCAUGUAUGCUAAUAGGUUUCAUAUUUCAAGGGACUUAAUUGCACAAAGUUAAACAUUAAAAUAGUUUAGGUUUCAAUCAGGGAUUAAUAUAAACAAAUCUUAAAAAAUCUAAGUCAAAACUAUAAAUUCUAAGUUACAGAGGACAAGACAGACGGUCGUGUGAACAAACCAUGUGAGAAGCCUUGGACCGUGUGGUUGGGGUACAUGACCAUGUAGCUAGGCUGUGUGAUAGACUGUAGCCGUGUGGCAUUUGUAAAAUCAACCUAAAGAGGAGACACGAAGUGUGAUAGGCUGUGUACGAUUUAAAAUACUAGGGUUUCAGGGUGGACAUGGUCGUGUGAGGGGCUCGUAUGGUCAACACGGGUGGCCCACAAUCCAGUGUGGCUGGCCGUGUGGCCCUAUUCUAGGCUUGUUUUUGCUCUAAUUUACUCAUAAAAUAACACACAUCUGUCACCAGGGUCUCAAGCAAUGAUCCUCAUAUCCAAAUCUGAUCUGAGAUACCUACAAAAAUUCUUUCAACUGAAAAAUACGCAAGAGUUUAUAAUGGUUUUCAAGAAUAGUCAAGAUCUCGGGAGAUAUCAACAAGAUCGUAAAAGAUCGUCUAAUUGAUAUUGCAAUUAACAUUAACAAAAAUUCUACAGGCAUUUUGAGAUUUAAACGUCAGAAUUGAAAUAUUGUUACCAAUUCUUGGAAACAUUAGAGAUGAGAUUUGAUGGCGUCACGCAAAACUUAUAAAAAGAACGGUUGAAUGGAGAUCGAUUUCAGAUCAGGGCAAAAUUAGCCCAUCUUGCCGAAAUUAGAAAAGCCGAAAUUAGAAAAGAAAAAUGGAAAUAGAGAGGUGUUUGGCAUGGUUCAAACUUGAGAAAUAAUGGGGAGUAAAUGCUUAACCAUUUGGGUUGUUGCCUACUCUUGACAUGCUUUUACUCCAUUUAAUAUUUAUCCUAGGGGGAUUUUCAUUCUAGUUUGCUGAAAAUUUAAAACAAAGAAAUAGGAAAGGAGUGGAUUGAACCUAGGAUCUCUAGGGAUAAGCUUUUAACCAUUAAGACUAAGGCUUAUUUCUUGGUUAAUUAUUACUUCUAACCCUAUAUAUUUUGGGGUGUUACAUAAAUUGAAGGUGGCAGCCUUAGGGUUUACAAACCUUGGGAAUUUAACCAAUUAUUUCCUAUUUGGAAUUCAUAUCUUGCCCUUCCUGAAAAUUCCAAUAGAAUUAGAAUUUCACCAUCUUUUUCUUUUCUUUUCCUAAUUAGAUUUUCAUAUUUCUCCAUUUCAAAUCCUAAUAAAAUUUGCUCUCCAUCUUUCUAUUUCUUCUCUUUUUUGUUUCUUUCCCUUUUCUUUACAUAAUAUUUUCAUCCUAAUUGUUAUUGAUUAUUUUGGCUUUCCUGAACCAAAUCAUCCCUCGUUCAAUCGUUUUUCUAUCAAUUUUGUAAUUUCCAUCAAUAGUUUUCGUAUCAUUGCAAAAAAAUAGUAAGUACACCUCGUUUUGAUUAUUAGAUCUUGUAUUUCUGUAAUAUUACUAUUCGACGCUAAUAUUUUGUUUGAUUAAUCAAUCUUUUACGGUUCUUGCUAAAUCUUUGAUAAUCUUGUUGAAAUCUUGACACCAAUUGUUAAUUCGUGAGUAAAUGUCAUCUGAAUGAACAGAUUUAGGUGAAUCAGAUAAGAUUUAAUCGUAAGAAACGUUAAUCGGACCCCUGGUGAAAGGUGUAUGUUCUUUUACAAGUGAGUCGAAGCAAACUGUAUGUAGGAUUAGGGCCACACGAUCAGACCACAAGGCCACCACAUAGCCAUGUGCCUCUGUAAACACUAGGUUAGUUCGUGAACCAUACAACCACAACUCUUCCACAUAGCCUGCCACACAGCUAUGUCUCCGCUGUAGGGUAAUUUUUACGUUUGCCACACAACCACAGUCUGUUAAAUAUCCUAGCUAUAUGGUCGUGUAACCCUUUCACACACGGCCUGGCCACACGAUAGUGUGACCCUUAUUUUACAGUUUUGCCUCAAAUUUUGUGAAUUGUUCUGUUUAGUCCCUGUGUUGUCCUCGUACUAUUUUUAGAUUUUAUCUCACUCAAAUGAAUCCUUGAUAAUAUCUACAUUGGAACCCAUGAUCUGAGUGAUUGAAUUAUUACCGUUAUAUGUAUGAUAUGUGAACAAUACAUGACUGUUGUCUCUGUAUUAUUGAUUACAUGUUUAGUAUGCCUUUUCAUACCGUUAAAACGAAUACAUGAUAAACAAGACUUUUGCUACUGCAUUGAUCUAUCAUAAACAUGUCUAUUGCUACUGUAUUGAUAAGUUAUAAUCAUGUCAUAUUACAUUGCAUGGGGUGGGAUGAUAUAAACGAAUUGGAAGCGUUAGCAAUUUAUCUGCAACAAUUAGUGGUUUAUCCACACUGAUGAGUGGUUUAUCCACACCGUACUAGCAGUUUGUUUGCAAAGUUUUUUUUUAUCUAAAAACUCUGGUGUUUCAUCCACUAUUUUUACUACGAGUGGUUCAUCCACAACGAUGAGCAGCUUAUUUGCAACAAUGAGUGGUUUAUUCAUAAUGUGGUGUAAGGAUGGAGAAGUUCUGGGAAACUCCUAGUGUGGUUUGUAGCGGAGUUGGAUAGGAUCUAUUAUGAAAAAUUGAAACUGCAUUGCCAUUUAUGAGCAUGUGCACACAUAAACUAUGAAUUCUGAAACAUUGUUAUAUUAACGUGUUGACCUAAAGAACUGAUACUUUGAAUCGUUAUAUGAGUGUGAUUAUUCCGAGAAUUGUUAUUUUGUAUGCGCCAUCUACUAUUUGCACUGAUUUUCUUAUGAUAGUAUUCACACUGAGCUUCUUAAGCUCACCCCACUUUAAUUUCUAUCUUUUCAAAUAACCCACAAGGUUAGGGUGCGAACACGACAUCUGGAAGGUCUCAGCUCGGAUUUUUUUUAUACACGAUAUUUUAGAUUUAUUAUUUUAAAAUUUUGUUAUUCAAAAACUAUAUUGUUUUAUUUUAAACUGUGAAAUGGGACUUAGGUUUUAGGUUUAUAUAGCAUGCAUGACAUUUAAUUUGAUUUUAGGAUGUUGAAAUAUGAUUUUUAAUUAAUUUUGCAUAAAACCAGGUUUUCAUUAAAACCAUGUUAAAUAUCACUUUUCUGCUGCAUGACUAUCUAAAUGAGGUUUGAAUAUAUAUAUAACUAAAAUUCAGCUUUUGAAAAGAAAUCCUUAAGUUCAACCGACUUUUGAAACUAAAUUUUAAUCUUUUUAAAAUACACUAAGUUUUCUUCAUAAAUUAAAGCAAACGUUUUAAACAACUACUUUUAAACUCCGAUAGUUCUACUAGGCUAUUUCAAUGGUUAAUGUAACCUUCUAAAUUCAGGUUUAACGUCUAGACUGAGUUGUUGAGGUUAUAAAAAUUAUAAACAUGUUUAAAUAAGAAUUAAAUAUUUUUUAAAAACGUAUUUAAAAUACCUUUGAAAAAAAAAACUAAAAAAAACAUAUUUAAAAAUUAGAACCAUCAACAAAAAGAUCAAACAGUAAAAAUACUAUUAAAAAAUGAUUUAAAAUAUUUUUUAAAAAUUUUAUACAAUUAAUUAAAAUAUUUAGUUUUUCCUUAGAAUUAAUUAAAAUAAUUUAAUUUUUUUUAAAAAAAUUAUUUAAGAAAUUAAAAUGCUGUUAAAAAUACAUUUGUAACAAUAUUGUUAAUUUUUAAGUAGUUCAGGUUUAGAAUUUUAAAUAAACAUUUAUCCAUUUGAAUAAUUAUUUCAAUAAUUUGAAUUGUUGGAUAAUUUUUAAACAUAAAUAUUUUGUAUUUAAAUUAAAUCUUAUUUACAUGCAUGGAUAUUAUCCCAACAAAAAAAAAUCAUCAAUUUACUUUUUUUAAAAUUAUCUUAAUAAUUUUUUCUAUGAGAUAAAAUAAAGUUUUAAAUAAUUAGAGAAAGUAAAAAAAAAAAGUGAAAGAAAAUGAAAAGUUGAAUGAGUUGUAACGGGGGAGGGUUGUGGACCUUGCAUUAUUCAUCUGAAAAAGGAAAGGGUUUUGAGAAGCUUAUUAAAAAGAAGGUAUUUAUAUAGGUUUUGUAAAAGAUAAUGGUUUUAUUUUGCGUUUUAAGUCCUAAUAAUAUUUUUUGUUUAGUUUAAAAUUUUCCAAUUUAGUGUCUUAUCAUAAUUUUAAAUUUAUUCAUUUGAGGCCCUAAAUGCAUAUAUGAUUAUUCAAUCUUGGUCCUUAGUUUUGUUUUAAUUCAAUCUCUAUAUGUGAUCCUAAUUCGUUUUAGUCCUAAAUUAUUGUAAUUUUUUAUAAUGUCGGAACUAAUCUAUGAUUUUAUUUUAAUUAUUCCUAUAAUAUUUUUUGUAUUGUAUAAAUAUAUUAUAUGUUUUUUUUCUUGAUUUUUACAAAUAUUUUUAUUUUAUUAUAUUUUUUUUACCAAUCUCAAUGUAUGCAAUUGUCAUAAUAUUUUUUUAAUUUUUUAAAUACUAAAAUAAAAAUAUAUUAUUUGUUUUUUUGAAUUAUAAUAAAUAAAAUUUAAUCAAAUUUAAGGAAACGUUGUGCAUGUGGUGGUAUUAAUUAUGCACAUAAAUUUUAUAUUCAAAAUAGUUAAUCCUUCAAUAAUUUGCAUAUAAAUUUUUAUCAAUCUUGAAAAAGUUUUGUAUACAUUAGCUAAAGUACUUGUGCUAAUACAAUAAAUUGUGCACUAUUUUUAUAUUUUUUUAAUUAUUAAAUAAAAAUAUAAAAUUAAUUAAACUGUAUAUGUUUUUUUUAAAUAUUAGAAAAAGAUUAUAAAUUCAAAUUAUAAUAUUAGCUAUAUUUUAUAUUUUAUUUUUAAAAUGUUAAAUUAAAAAUAUAAUGUUAGAUAAACACCGUAAACAGUUUAAACAUAUAUUUUAAAAAAGAAUUAAACAUGUAAAAAAUUAUUUUAAAAUAUAGUACUAUUUAAAAAAAAUUCUACCAUACUAUAUUUAAUCAAAUUAUUUUAUAAUAAAAUUAUUUUUUAUGAUAUUUAAUUUUUACCGUACAGGAUAUAAAAUAAAGUAUUUAGCUUUUUUUAAAUUUAUUUAAUUAUGCAAAUAUGUUUUUAUUUUUUUUCUACCGUACAAUAUUUAAAAUAAAGUAUUCAAUUACUGUUAAAAACUAUUUUAACCAAACUAUUUUAAAUUAGCAUUCUAUUUAAGUGUUAAAAUGUGUUAGUAACUUUUAACAUACAUUUGCGGCUAAAAAACAUAACUAAUUUUUUAAUUAAAAUAAUAUUAAAUAAAAUAAUAAUAAUAAUUACUAAUACUUUAAUUUUAUAUUUUAUAUUGUUCUUAAAUAAAAUAUUUUUCUAAAUAAUAAUUAAAAAAACAAAAUUCCUAUUACAUUAGUUUAAAAAUAACUUUUAUAUUUUAAAAAAUCAUAAAUUAAAUUAAAUUAAACUAAAUAAAUAUUAUAAUAGUAUAAUUAAAAAAAUUCUUGCUUAAAAUAGCUUUUUUAAUUAUUACAUUUUAAAAUUAAAACACUUGAAAUUAUUGUAUAAUUUUUUUUUGGAAUUAUAAAGAUAAACAUAUAUAUGUCACUUACUAAGUAAAAUGUUAAUUAUUCAAUCAAUGAAAUUAAUUUAAAUAAAAUUAUUUUAACUAUGAUUUUAUAUCUUAUUAGCUUGACUUUAAUUGUUGUUUAAUGCCUACAUACAUAUAUUAUAAGAUUCAUUUAUGUUUAAUCUAAGAAAUUAUAUUACAUCAUAUACAUAUAAUAAUUUAAUAUAUUAUUUUUAUAAAAAUAUUGAAUUACAAAAUAUAUAAAAAAACACAUAAAAUUAUCUAAAUUUAUUUAUGAAAUGAAUGAUAAAAUUAAAUUAAUACAAAAUUUUAAAAUAUUUUAAUUAAUACAUACAAUCAAACUCAUACACCGUCGAAUAAAAAAAAUUAGUAUAUUAUAUAUUACAAGGUUCAGUUUUAAUAUAUUCAUACUAUAAAAAUUUGACAUGUGGCAAGGAAAGGAAGAAAGAAUUUGUGGAGGGAAAAAUUACCACAUAAAUCUCUCCUCAUUUUUUGUUUAUAAUUUUUAUUAGUGUUUUGCUCAAGAGCAAAGGAGAGCAUCAAGACAAGAGGAGCAUGCAAAAGGAGCCUUUCAAGCAAGGAAUAAAAAAGGUUCGAGCUCCUCAAGCUUUAAAAGAAAGAAAAGCUUAGAAGAGACAAUGGAAAGAAGAAAUAUCCACCAUGCUCUUAUUGCAAGAAGACAGGUCAUCUAGAGAAGUUUUACUGGUUCAGACCUGAUGUUCAGUGUAGAGCCUACAAGCAACUUGGCCAUAUGGAGAAUGUUAGCAAGAAUAAGGGGCAAUCGCAACAGCAGCCACAACAGCAAAAUGCUCAGGCACAGGCAGCUAAUGGAAAUCAAGUUCAAGAAAAUUUGAUGUUCACUGCCUCAUGCUUUGCCAUCAACAAUAUUCGAAAGCACUGGCUUAUUGACUGUGGCUGUACAAGUCACAUGACCUCAUAUGCAAGUAUCUUUAAGAGCAUUGAUAAAAAGCUUCAACUCCAAGAUCAAAGUUGGAAAUGGCUAGUACAUCAAAGUAGCAAGGAAGGGAGAUGUUUUAAUCAACACUCCAUCAGGUACUAAACUUGUUUCAGAUAUUCUUUUAGUACCUGAUAUAGACCAAAACCUGCUAAGUGCUGGUCAAUUGCUCAAGAAGGGAUAUUCCAUGGUGUUCAAGAACAAUGGAUGCUUAAUUUUUUAUCCUAAUGGAUGUGAGCUUAUAUCAGUGGCCAUGUUUGACUUAAGCUUUUCUGUAGGUUGGAACUUAGCAACUUCUGAUGCCUAUGUUCACUUGUGGCAUUGGAGAAUGUGACAUCUCAACUACGGAUCCUUAAGUCAGAUGUCUAGGAACAAUUGGUUGAAAAUUUUUCAAAAAUGGUUGAGCAUAAGGAUGUCUUCGAAGUUUGUCAAUUAGAAAAGCAAUCUAGGUUUCCUUUUCCAACCAAUAAAGCUAAGAAAGCCAACGAUAAACUGCACUUAGUGUAUUCUGUUGUUUAUGGACCAAUGAGAACUUUUUCACUAAGUGGCAACAAGUACUUUGUCUUGUUCAUUGAUGAUUGUACAAGAAUCUGUUGGGUAUACUUCAUGAAACUCAAGUAUGAAAUGGCUAAAAUCUUCUAGAAGUUCAAAGCAAUGGUUAAGAAUCAGGUCAGUUGCAAGCUUAAAAUGAUCGGGUCAGACAAUGGGACAGAAUACAAUUCAAAAAAUUUUCAAGAGUUUUGUGAAAAGGAAAGAAUUUAUCAUCAACUCACCGAUUUCUACAGUCCACAACAAAAUGGACUAUGUGAUAGGAAAAAUAGGACUGUAAUAAACAUGGCUUGAUGCCUAUUGUUUGAGGGCAAGCUGCCAACAAUUUUGGGUAGAAGUAGUAAACACUUCAGUUUACUUGCUAAACAUACUGCCAAUCAAAGUUGUAGAAGGGAAAACUCCAUUUGAAGCUUGGUUUGAGCACAAACGUUCAAUUUCUCACCUAAGAGUGUUUGGUUGCUCAUGAUUUGUUUAUGUGCCAAUAGAGAAAAGAAGCAAGCUUUGAUAAAAGACCAUAACCUGGGAUUUUUCUGGGAUACAACAUUAAUAAGAAGGGCUAUAAGAUCUUUGAUCCUUUCUCCAAGAAAAUUAUUGUAAGCAGAGAUAUAAAGUUUGAUGAAGGGUGAAUUUGGAAAUAGGAUGCAACUGAAAAUGAGAUACUCAAGUUAGGAGAACUGGAACCGAAUCUACAACUUACUGAAGAUCAAGUUGAGAAUGAAAGCUUUGAUGACUAUCCAGUGAGAGGAACUAGGCCAAUUGUUGAAGUUUACCAAAGAUGCAAUCUAGAAGUAUUGGAACAAGUUACCUUUGACGAAGCAGCACAAGAAAUUGAAUAGACAAAUGCCAUGAAGGUUGAGAUUAGCAUGAUAAAUAAGAAUGAGACAUAGGAGUUGGUAGAUAAAUCAAUUCAUAAGAAGACCAUUGGGGUCAAAUGGGUGUUUAGAAUCAAAAUGAACCUUGAUAAUUUAGUCAAAAGUUUAAGGCUAGAUUGGUUGUUAAGGGCUUUAAUCAACAACAUUGUGUGGAUUUUACUCAGACCUUUUCCUUGUAUCAAGGUUAGAUACCAUAAGACUGUUGCUAACACUUACAACUCAAAAGGGUUGGGGGAUACAUCAAAUAGAUGUAAAAUAAGCUCUCUCUUUUUUGAAUGGUUUUCUAAAGGAAGAGAUCUACAUUGAACAACCUCAAGGUUUUGUUGUAACAAGAUGUGAGGCAAAGGUAUACAAACUAAAGAAAACCUUGUAUGGCCUGAAAUAGGCCCCAAGGGCCUGAUAUGAGAAGAUUGAUAAUCAUCUAGCAUAUUUGGGAUUUGAAAGAAGUAAAAGUAAACCUACACUGUAUAUGAAAAAGGUUAGGAAUGAAACAUUUCUUAUAGUGUCUUUGUAUGUUGAUGAUCUGCUUGUGAUUGGAAAUAUUGAGCUGGUUUGUAUCACCUCUAACUCGUCUCUAUCGUCGAAUUAGGGUUAUGGAGCAUAAUUGUACAAAACAAAACAUUUAACUUCCAAAUAGAACAAAAAUACAAUUUAAUAUUAAUUUCUAAUAACUCAAUACAAUCAUGGAAAAUAUACAUAUUUGGGCCUUAAAUCUAGCCUUCGGGCCGUAAAAAUAAUUUGGGAACAAUCAGGGAUUAAUUUGAAACAAAUCAAAAAAUUUUGGGAAAAACAUGAAAAAUUGGGAAACAUGGGUCACACGGCCGUGUGACAUAACCCAGACCAUGUGGACAUUUGAAGUAUGGAAACAUGGCUGUGUCCCAACCCAUGUGUUCGACCGUAUGGGUAUUCGAAAUAAGACCACACAGUCGUGUCGCAAACCGUGAGUUAGACUGUGCCAAAAACUGUUUUGAGACACACGGUUGUGUCUCAGACCGUGUGAAACUUGUACCUAAAACAAUAAAUACACACGGCCGUGUGUAGAGACCGUGUGUGGCAUACAAUUGUGUGACAGCUCGUGUCUUAGGCCGUGUGCUGCAAAAGUUACCCCUAAAACAAGCCAUUUCAACACCAAAACUUGCACACCAAGACACACCAAUUCUAUCAACUUUCACAUGACCAAAACACACUUCAACCACAUUCAAAACAUACCAUUUCAAUCAUCCUAUAAGCUCUAACCAAUAUGUUAUUCAAAGGCAUCACAAUUCAUAAACCAAAAUCAAUUAAAAACCAAAUUACAAUACCAACAUCAAUCAUUUAGCAUGGAUGCUAAAAGACCGUUCCAUCUCAAUUUUAACCAUCACAACUUACCAUUUUAGAUAUGCAUAAUCAAAAUGACCAUAUUCAAAUGAGUUUAAACUUAUACAAGCCAAACCAAAGCCAUAUAUAUACAAAUAACUACAAGUAAAGUCAAAACACAUCAUAUGUGCAAAACUAAACCAAAAUACCUAUUACAUCAAGUCCUAUACAUGCCAUUUGUAACCAUUUGACAAAAAUACACAAAAUCUACCAAAGUGGUCGACAAAUAGUGUGAUAGAGCACCGACAGAAUUCCCAACCAUAGUAGCUUUCUGAAGAUCUACAAGACAAAGAAAAGAAAGCAACUACAUAAGAAAAUGAUACUUAGUAAGCUCAUAAAAGAGAAGCUCAACUUACCAAAUAACAAUUUCUUGAAUAACCAAUAAAUAUUAUUUAAUCUUUAUUUGCACAUUUCCAUCAAAAUACACCACAUUACAAGUUAGCAACUAAACACACAUAUAUAAAAACAUAUUAUUCAUCAUAAGCGACAUAUCAAGCAUAAUGUCUCAAUAGAUAAAUCAUCAAUCACUAAAUAAUAAAAAAUAUUUCUUUCCAAUUCAUAAGUGCAUAACCUUUCCAAAACACAUACAAACCUUUACAAGACGGAUCAUUCCAUGAUUCCCUUUUCAAACAUAUCCUUUUCAAUCGUGUAAGGAUUUGGAGUGGCUCUACCUAGGAUGGGUUCCUCAAGUCUUCUACAUGCGGUUUGGCUCUAAAGUCAAGGUACCCGAACCAGCAGAUUCCUCGAUCUUCACCCAUUAUAGGCUCAUACAGACCGAGUUCGGUUCAGGGGAAUACAUUUCCCUAUGGCUGCACGGAGAUGAAAAUCUCACGAAGACAUAGGUACAGAUGUAUCCCGAAAGUGAUUCACUAUCCAGCACAGAGGUGAAAACCUCACGAAGGAGUAGCUUCUCACUCCCACUUAAAAGGACAAGACUAAACAGUCUUAUGCAAUAUGAUGCCAAAAUAUACAACUCAAUUUACAAUAUUCAUGCAAACAAGUGCAAAGAAAAGAUCGUAAUUUUUCAAAUCAAGUUUUCAAUUUUCAACAAUAAGACAGGAAACAAUCAAUUUUACGGCUUGACUCUCUAAAGAUCCCCAGUGGAGUCGCCAAGCUGUCGAAACCUCCUUUUUAAAUUUAAAUUUAAAUCAAAAAGGGGGAUCGACUUUGAAAAUAAAAUGGGAUUCGCCACCGAUCUUUUGUUAAGGUGUGACUAGUUCACCGUUAAAAUCGAAUUUGGUCCCCGAAAUUUUGAGAAAAUAAAUUCGGGAGUCGCUUACGCACGAGGAAGGGUUAGCACCCUCGUACGCCCAAGAUUGGUACCAAAUUAAUUGUUUGAUGUCUUAAUUUCAAAACUCUGAAAAGAUUUUAAAAUACGAUCCUUUGGUGAGAAAACUUGAAUCAACUAAAUUGAAUGAUAAGUCGCACUUAUUUCGCAGAAAUAAAUUGCCACACUCAGUGAGUUAGAAUGCGACAAUUCAAUCGUCAAAAUUAAAUAUGUCUUUUUAAUUCAAAAUUUAAAAUUCAUGUAUUCUGAGAAGGUUAUUCGAUCAUUUAAGUCAAACGGGAAAUCAGAAUCCAGUAAGUUAGGGUUCAAUUUCUUGAAAUUCCUAAACAUCAAACAUUGUCUUUAUUUUAAAAUCGAGAUAACAAAAUGUUGUAUCCAGUAAGUUAGGAUCCAACAUUUUGAAGUCUCAAAAGCUCUAUUUAAGAGUUGUAUGGUUUUACCAAAAUAAACAUUGGGCUAUCCAAAUUCAUCGAGAAGAAUUGAAGCCCAGUAAGUUAGGGCACAAUUCUCUCGAGAGCUAUGAACGCCAGGUCCUUUUGAAAAUUAUGAAAAAUGAUUUUGGUGCUUUAUUGAAACACCAUUUUUACAAAUGUAACAUGAUUGAAUGGUAAUAUACAAAGUAACAGGAUAGCUUGGAAAUAGAAUGUACACUAAUGAAUAACAAAAAUCAAAUAACAAAUACAAACAAACAUGUCAACAAAAAAAUUACGCAAAUAUCAACAUUGACUAAUAAGAGGGGACUAACUAAAAACAAGCGAAUAAGUACAAAUAAAGUAUAUCAGUUCAAAAUAUAAUUUAAGAAAAAAAUGGUAUGAAAAUAGGUAAAUUGUAAUUAAUAAAUUAUAUGAACAAAAAAUUAAAAUGAAUUACACGUAGAAAAGUUUGAAAUAGAUUAAGAAAUAAAUUUUACAUGAAUUGUAAUAUGCCAACGAAUUCUAAAAUAAGUAUAGUAUGAGCAAAAAAUUGAAAUUUAAUAUAUAAAGCAAUACAUAUAAUGAUUUAGAUAGAUAAUACGUAUUAAAUGAAGAACUUAAUAAUAGUAAUAAAAAUAAUAAUGAUAAUAUAUAUAUAUAUAUAUAUAUAUGAUAACAAUACAAAAGGGUUGAAAUAACAAAACAUGUAAGUAAGUUUUUUUAAAAAAUGAAUUAUAAAAGUGACUUAUUUAAGAGAAAGCUAAAAGAUAAUAAUUAUAAUAAGUGGAAAUCAAUAAUAUAUUCAUAAAAUAAAAUAAGAAAUGAAGAUUACGUAUGUAUGCUCUAAUAUAGUACAAAAAUAUGAUUGUAAUUUUUAGAAUAUAGGAAUAUAAAAGAGAGUUUAAAAAUAAAGAUUAUAAAAAUUAUAAAAAAUAUACAAAUCAUGUUAAGUUACUCAUAAAAAUAAAUGUUGAAUUUAAGUAGUAAUAUAUGAAAACUUAGGGUUAUAGUACAUAAUAAAUUUAAAACCAAUCACAAAAUGAAUAUAAAUAAUAUUAAUGAUUUUGAUGAUAACAAAAAAAAUAUUAAGCUCAACCAUAUAGAAAUAUGAGAUUUAAAAUUAAGUGCAUAAAAAAAAUGAAAUAAUAUACAUCCAAUCGAAUAAAAAUAAACUAUAAACUAAAAUAAAGAAGAUUAAAUUGGAUUUAAAAUUAGAAUCGAGGGAAAAUUUGUAAAUAAAAUAAGAUAAAGGAUCCGAUUAUAAAUCGUGAAUAACUUAGAGGGAUUGAAUGAAGAAAUGUCCCUACCCACUGCAACGCGUUAAACUAACUAGGAUCAAAUUAGAAACCAGAUAAAAGUUGCAGUAUCAAUUAAAGAAAACGAUAAAAGAAAUAAAAAAUAAUCACAGAUUCAGAGGGAUUUAAUGCGCAAAUAGACCAAACACCCAAAGUGCGCGGAUCCUUCCCUCGAGCCGGGUCACCGCGCGGGUCAUGGUCACUAGACGCUCAAAACGGUGCCGUUUCGAAGCUAUGGGAACCAACCUCGAACGGCGUCGUUUUAUACACCCACCUAAACGCCUUAAAACCUGAAGCAGAAUGCUUUAGCCCUAAGUUCGGACCAGAGGGAGGCCGCCCCUACCCUCUCUACUGCUAGGAUUUCAACCCUAUUUUCGCGCCGCCGAAAGCUCCGCCAAUAUCCGGCCUCACAACUUUAGCCCGAGCUUCGAUUGCGACGAAGCGAGCAAGGUUUCAAUCGGCGCUACGUUAAGGUGAAUCCUUUCCCUUUUUACCUCUAUUUACAAAAAUCAAUAGUAAUAAACAUGCAUCGAUGGAACAGAGAAGAUAAAAAAAAGCAGAGAAACAAACACCUUCAAGAAACUUUUGAUCUUUUUUUGUAUUAAUUCUCUAAAUAUUUUUUUUAUUUUUUGUUCAAUAUCAUGUGUGUCCCUUACAAAUGCUGAAAAGUGGCUUUAUAUAGCCGAAAGUAAAAAUGAAAAUUACAAAAAAUGUAUUUCAUUUUUCCUAUUUUCUUUUUCUUUUUUGCUACUAUUUGUCUUUUUUCGUUCGUCCUUCCUCUGUCGCUUCGUGUGUUGCAGGUGUUUGUUACAUUGCAGGUACGGGUACAGAGGCCGUAUGGUGACGUGGAGGGCAGUGCACGUGCCAGGGAGGGUUCUGGUGGCUGCGGCGCUAGAGGCUCGCAUGUGGGGAAACGACGCUGGGAGCUUCUAGGGUUCCCUGCCUCUAAUUUUUGUUUUGGGCUGCAUAUUGAUUGGGCUAGGGUUUAAUGGGUAAUUCGGGUUAGGUUUAGUUAGUAUUUCGGGUUAGGGUAUUUUAUUUCUAUUUGUAAUUGGGUUUCAGGCAAAUUUUAGGCCAAAUUUUGUAGUCUGGACUGUACUAAUUGGACCUUUAUUUUUGUUUGGAAUUUAUUUUUAUUUAUGUGGGCCCAGGCCAAAAUUAGGCCUUACACUGGUUAACAUCCUUUUCAAUCUUUUCAUUUGUUAUCCUUUUCAGAUAACUUCCUUUUCAACCUUUUCAUUUAUUAUCCUUUUCGGAUAACUUCCUUUUCAACAUUUUCAUUGAUUCAGAAAUACUGAAUGUAAUGCCAUGGUGUCUUUCAAUCAUGGUCUUUUCCUUUUCGAGUAUAAUACCAUGGUAUAUUUCAAUCUCGGACUUUUCCUUUUCUCAAAUCAAAACAGUCUUUAUCAUAAUUAGAUAAAUCAUAAAUCUAUGAAUUAACCUUAAAAAUUCAAAUGUAAUAUUUUAAAAAGGAAACACGAACUUACCUUGACAAAAACGAUUGUAAGAAACAAAGCCGAUGACUACUCCAACACUUUAGCUUUUCAUCGGUUUAAGUCCGGUUGAUUCGUUUCUUGAUCUAACUAGCAAUUUAACUCAAUUAAAUAAUUCAAUUAGCUUAAAUUUAUAGAUUCUAACUUAUAACCCAUUUUAAUGCAAAAUUAAAAAUUUACCCCUAAAAUUUUAAUUAUUAUGCAAUUUAAUCCCUAAAUCCCAAACUCACAAUUAAACCACAAUUAAUGAACUAUCAUGAUAGCCGAUUUUAUCUAAGGUCCUAUACCAUCCAUAUCUUUCAUUAUUUCAUAAAAUUAUUAUUGAAUUUUACCAUUUUCUCAAAUAAAUCCUUUAGUUCAAAUUCACUAAAAAUUACUUAACAAAAUAUGUCUAUUUAGAAACUAAGAUUAAUAAUCCAUAAAUAAAAUUCACUAACACUACAAAAUCAUUCAUGGAAAGUCCAUAAACAUUUAACGGUUUUACAAGUUGACCCUCGGGGUAGCUAGAUUAAGCUAAUACGAGCUCAAAAACAUAAAAAUCACUAAAAACGGAAUAAAAAUACAUACCAUACAAAAAAAAGAGCUUGGCAGAAAGUUCUGCCUUCAACAAUGGAGGAUUCGAUUUUAGGGGAAGAAAAACAAAGAAGAUGAUACUUCAUUCAUCUUUUAAUUACUUUGUUUAAUUUAUUUACUAAUUUACCUUUUUACCCUUAUUAUAAUUAAUAAUUUUCAACUAACAUAUGUCCAUAACUACCCACUAACAUGAUUUAUGGCAUAUUUACUCACUAAGUACAUUAAUUUAAAAUAUCAUAGCCUUUUGAUCCUUGUAGCUAAUAGAAAUCAUUUUUUGUAAUCUUUACAAUUUAAUCCUUUUUACUUAAUUAACUAUUUAAACCUUAAAUUUUCUUAACAAAAAUUCAAUACAACCCUAAUAUGACCCUAUAAACAUUAAAAUAUUAACUCACUCAUUAGAAUCGUGGUCACGUAACCAUUGUUUCCUACACCAUUGAAAAUGGGCUGUUACACAGUUGUUGACUUCAAAGAACAGAUGUAUAUGGUGUUCAAGAUGUUAAACUUGGGAGAAAUGGCAUACUUCCUUGUUCUUGAAGUGAUUCAAACUUGUGAAGCAAUCUUUAUAAGCCAAAAGGCUUUUUCCAUGAAGAUUUUGUAAAAGAUGCUAUAUGGAGAAUUGCAAGCUUGCGAACACUCCUAUUCCUCAAGGAGACAAGCUCACCAGUAAUGAAAAUGUUGAAAGAGUAAGUGAGACAAGCUAUAGAAGCUUGGUUGGAUACCUGCUUUACUUGACUGCAUCCAAACCAGAUAUAGUGCUUGUUGUAAGCUUAUUAUCGAGGUACAUGCAUCACAGCAAUAUGGUCCAUUACAAAGCUACCAAAAGAGUUUUGAGGCAUGUAAAAGGAACAUUGAGUUAUGGAGUGACGUUCAUGAUGGCUAAAAAACUUAAGCUACUUGGAUACUCAGUUAGUGAUUGUGUAACACCAUGCUCAGUCCAGUCACCGGACCUGAGCUACAUGAUGCUAUAGAAGAUAAUGGAACAAAUACAUGUAAAUUUGACAUUUAGCAAUCAAAACAAUCAUUAAAAUGUUCAUGACUCAAGUAUGCAAUGACUUACACAUCAAUCUAAGUCUCAAACGAGCUUACGAAAGCACUUAAACUUAACAAAAUAUAUGAAAAUUUCAACCGUGUGACCAAGCUGAUGUCGUGUGGUGCUGAACCACACAGCCGUGUAAUAUAGGGUCACAUGGUUGUGUCGCUAGGCCUUGUAACAAUAUGUGGUCGUGUGGACCUAAUUGUAAAACUUUACAAACAUUCACACGACUGUGUGGCUAGGUCGUGUGAGAGAUUGAGAUCAUGUCAACAUUCAUGCAUCUAAAUUACCAGUAUCACACGGUCGUGUCAACCAAUUGUGUGAGACACACGGCCGUGUAGCAAACCAUGUGUGCAUGAAAAGAUACCUAAUGUACAAUUUGGCUUAACCUUAUACAAAGACUUAUAAUGCAUUCCUUUACUAACAUUAAAGCCAGCUCAAAUAUGCACAUUUCAUGCCCAAAAUAUUACUUAUAAAGCAUUCCUAUGUAUCUAACCAAUAUGCCAUAAUUGGCACCGUAAUCAACUAAAUUAUUUCAAUCCAUUCACUUAUAAUUUAUGCAUUCAUUCAACUAUCACAUUCUAAAUCACUUAGCACACAUUCGAGCUAGUCAUACACAUCUUCAUUUCAUAUGAGCAUAAGUAUAGUUUAACUUGCCGAAACAAUCCCAUAAACUUACUUUAAUAGAAUACCCAAAUAAACAUACCAAAAUAGGCAAGUUCAUAAAUUUGAACACCAAGCACAUAUAUAUAUCACACAUAUUACAUGCCACUUAUAACUGAACCAAGAUGAACCAAAGAUUACCAACAGCUACGCUAGAUAGUGUGAGCUUUAGAAGUGAUCCAAUAGCCAAGUUUCGUAAAUAUGCAACUACAGAAGACAAAAAUAAAACGGGGUAAAGAUUGACAUGCUUCGUAAGUUCAUAGGUACAUAAACAAUAGUCUUACCUUAGAUUCACCUUUAAGUAAAUAGAAUUAAGUAGUUUAAGUUACUUUCUUGUCAAAACAUUUUACAACAGUAAGGUGAAUAUAUCACGAAUCAAUCAUAUAAUCUUCCUAAAUCCAUUCAAUAUGAUACAUAACAGUAUCGUUCAGUCAAACUAUAAAACCUAUUAAUCAAGUUAAUCAAUUGAUAAAAUCCAUUAUUAAACACAUUCUUCUCAACUUAUUACAUACACAAUCAAAUAUCCUUUUCUUUUAAACAUAUAGCACCGUUACCACAUGUCAUAAGUACAAAACUAGCGUUUCAUACAUGUAAACUAUAAAAUUUCAGUCAUUUUGAUAUCAUUUCCAUACAACUUUUAAACACAUACUUAUCAUUCAUUCAAUUUCAUCAGCUAACAUUUCAAUAAACGUACAAACAUAUUAUUUCUCAGCAACUCAUGAAAUCAAUCAAUAUACUUUCUUUUUUUAACAUGUAGCUUGAUGAACUAUAGCAAAAUAAUUCGAAUACUCGGUUAUCCACACAAAAUACGCUAGAAUGCUCAAACGAGCAAAACCAACCAAGAACGCACCUAGGCACUGAGUGCCAAGCCCAAAGGCUAACAUCCUUCCAAAAACACGCAUGGACACUAAGUUCCAAGCCCAAAGGCUACACAUCAUCCCCCAGAAACAUGCAUGAAUCACUGCAAAUACAACUCAGUAAUCUGAAAAAGUUGCUGGAUACCAGCACAUUCAAUGAACAAAUAAACAUAUAAUCUAUCAUCAUCUCAUCUCAUAUCAAACCCAUACAUCACGCGAUAUAACCCUAUUGGCAUGUCAAUCGUAUCCUAAUUAUUUAUUACGUUGAAAUAGACAUUUAAAUAAGAUUCAUAAUAUUUAUGAAUCAUGGGCAUUUUCAUGUUCUCGGUACACAUGUUGUAAACAAGUCACAUUCAUUCUGAAUUCAUAUGAAUCAUGUUUCACCAGUAUUCAACAUUUCUUAAUUAAGUCGUUACUCACCUUAACAUUAGUUUAUAACAUUUCAAUUUCAAUUCACAAUAUUAAUAACAUAUAUAUUCAAAAUUCAAUAGCAACAAUAUGUAUAUAUACAUUUCAAUACACUAUGAACUUACCUAAUGUAUUUGAAUACAAAGUUGAUUUGUAGAGACUAUUAUGCAAUUUUCUCUUUUUUUCCCAAUUUUCCACCAUACGAUUCAAUCCUUGAUCUGUAUAAUAAUCCAUUUCAGAUUAUUAGCUUUUAACACCUUAAACCAUCUAAAUUCAUGAAUAUAAUAUUUUUUAUUCAUUUUGUAUCAUUUUCCCUAAAUUUUUGUAUUUUAUUCAAUUUAGUCCUUAAAGCCGAAACUAGUAUAUCUUUCAAAUCCAAGCUUUGAUUUCCAAUCUAAUUACAAAUCAAUCACUAUAAAGCCCUUUAAAAACAUAAUUUUCAAAAAUUUCAUGACAAAUUUUAUAUUAUUACAAUUUGAUCUUUAUACACAAAACUAACAAAAUUUACUUAACAAAUUAUUCUCUAUUCACAACUAAGCCUACAAACAUACCAUUAAACAUUAAAAGAUUCAAAUUUUAUCAAUGGCAAUAUAUUAAAGCUUUAACAGUUUUGAAAAUGGAGAUAUGAUUUAGUUGGACCUAGUUGCAACAAUCUGAAAACAUAAAAUUACUAAAAAUAGGAUUAAAAUGGCCUUACAUGAAACAACACAAGUGCAGACGAAUUUAGAGUUUUAAAAAUGGUGGCUUUAUGCUUUUCUAUUUGGUGGAAGACUAGUUAAGGAAGAUGAUAUCCCUCUUUUAAUGUUUAAUAAACAUAUAUUAUUUUAAUAUAACUUUAACAUAUAAAAUUAGUAAAAUAAAAGACUAGUAGUCCACCAAUAUUGAAAAAGGGGUCUUUACCUCUUACAUCCUCCCACUUUGACUAUUUAAGCCUUUUAACUAAUAAAAAAUUAAUACCGAUAAACUUUUAUAACUUUUACGAUUUAGUCCUUUUUUCUUUAAUUAACUAUCAAAUCAUCCGAAUUUCUAGACCAAACUUCAAUUCACUAAUAUAAUAGCUAUGUAAAUAUUCAAUAAUAAUGUUUAUGAGCUUGAUUUAUGAAAAUAAGGUUAUGAUACCUCAUUUUUCCAAAACUAGUGACUUUUGGUACGCAUCACUUAUACCUUGACUAACUGACCAAUUAAUAAAAUCUAUUAAAUCACGAUUCAAUAUUAUACUAUAUUUUACUCAUAAAUAUUAAUUAAAUAUAUCUAUGGAUUCUCUCAUCGAAAUUGUGGUCCCGAAAUUACAGUUUUUGACACCAUCAAAAAACGGACUAUUACAGACUAGGCAGGAUCUAUUGAGGACAUAAAGAGUACCUCAAGCUAUUUCUUCACUCUAGGGUCAAGUGCUUUCUUCUAGAGCUAAAGAAAGAAACAAUCAUUGGUCCAAUCCAAAGAAAAAAUAGGGUAUGUUGCAGCUGCUGCAGUUGUUAGCCAGGCCAUUUGGCUAAGAAAGUUGUUGAAUAACUUGAACUUGAACCAAGAGGAAGCAACAGAGAUCAAGUGUGACAAUUAUUCUGCUGUUGCAAUUGCAAAGAAUCCAGUAUUCCAUAGGAAAACAAAGCACUUUAAGAUAAAGUAUCACUUUGUAAGAGAUGUGCAACAAGCAAAAGAAGUUGAACUGAUCCAUUACAGUUUAGAAGAUCAACUUGUAGAUAUCUUGACAAAACCUCUUGGGACAACUAGAUUCGAGAAGUUAAGAUUUCAAAUUGGAGUUUACAGCAUGGAAGCCAAGGAGGAGUAUUGAAAGGUGGCCAACCAUGCUGCUAAUAUGUUUUUUUUAUACAUGUAGCUCGUGUGAAUGUUACAGUAAUAUGUUUCAUCUUUUUAGUUGCAAUGUAAUUUUUCUUAGUUGAAAAAGGACAAGAUUGAUAACACCUUGAUGUGUUUAGGUGAUGAGUAACUUGUUUAGUUGACUUUUUUUAGUGUACAAGCAAUGUUUUGACAGACUCAAUGCUGAUUAGUGGUGUUAGUUGAGUAUUAGGUAUGUAAACUCAACCUAUAAUGUAUUAUUUUCAAGUUGAAUGAAAUCAGGUCAAUUUUUUCUGCAUCCAUUGCUUAUUUUCUUUAUUUUUUUACUUUCUUUCAUUGAUUGAUGAGCUAACAUAAUUGUUGCAUUGUUUGAGUUAAAUUUCUCUAGUUAUUGCAUAUUAAAGUUACUUUUCAGUGGUAAAAGGAGUUGCAGACAAUAGUUUAGAAUUAAAGUGGAUAAAAGGGAAAAGUCUUGGCAGUGGUUCUUAUGGAGUAGUUCACUUGGUAAAACUUAUAGACUUGGUUUUUUACCAUUAAGUUUUGGCCGUCAAGUCCUGUUUUUAUGAAGACUCUAAUUUACUUAAAAAUGAAAUAAACCUUCUUCGAUAAUUUUCUGGUUGUAAUAAUAUUGUUCAAUGCUGAUGCGAACCCGGUCGCGUCAUGUUUUGAUACAUCUCGACGACAUCAGGAUUUGCCUAAACUCGAGGGGCCUAAGUGCAAAAUAAGACGUUUAAUUUCAGUUUGUUAAUAAAUUGAGUUCAUUUUAGUUAAUAACUCAUCUUAGAUUAAUAAAUGAGUUACUGAUCAUUAAUACAACUCAUCUUAGUUUUAAUAAUCGAGUUAUUAUUGAACUUCAUUUAAUAGAUGCUUCUUAAUUAAUCUAGUUCCUAGAAUUAUUUAUUGAUGCAUGAGUUAAGCUCAUUUAAUUAUGCUUCUUUAAUUAACUAGUUGUUGGAAUAAUUGAUGCAUAUGUUUUAGUUCAUUUACUUAAGUAUUAAUGUGUGUUAUGUUUAAUAAGUGUUUACAUGUGUUUAAUAAGCUCAUUUUAAUGUGUUUAUUGCAGGAGUCUUUUCAAGUCAUAACCAUUACAAUUCAAGGCUGUUACAAAUUAAAUAAAGUGGUUAUUCAAGUCAUUUUCGGUUACAAAGUAAAAGGGCUGUUACAAAGGAGGUUUAACAUAUCUUUUAAAAGAGUUUAAAGAGUGGAUUAUUGCUUCUUUAAAUUCGGCAGCAAGCUUUUCAACUACCUACCAUUUUUGCUGCUUCAAAAGAAUUAAUCCAAGAAUUCAAAACACCAUUAAGGUGUUGGUGACUAUUCAGCUAACCAAAGGACAUUUCAAGAGUCACUUUUCAUGCAUUCAAGGUCAAUUAUGCAGCUGAAUUGAAGUGAAUUAAAUGGUGGAGUUAUUUGGUUCAAGAAUUCCAAGAGGCUUGAGCUUUAUUUCAGCUUUUAAGAUGAAUACUUUUGACCAUUCAGCUAGCCUUUUUCUAGCCUUAUAAAUAUGUGUGUAAUCAGCCUUUUGAAGGGACGUUUACUUUUGGAACUUUGAUCAAAUUUUAUGAACAUUUUGUUCACGAGUGAGUUUACCUCCUCUCCUAUUUUGUACAAGUCUUGUUCGACUUAUCUAGCAUUGCUAAGGGUGUCUUCUCGACUUGUUUCUUUGAACUUAUCACUCAUCACCGAGUGUGGCGUUCUCCAAAAUAUACCUUUGGUUCCUAACUUCCUAGUUAGCGGGUCAAGGUCCACCUUAAGUGACGUAUAAGUCUCGGGUCAGCUCUUUGAUAUAGUGUUGGUUCUUUCUUGUCCUUAAGAUUGUUUUUCCACAUCCACCACCUAUCUGACUUAUCAAUCCUUUAUUUCUUUACCAUUAAAUCGAACCUACAUAUUUCUAAACCCUCCUUUCAUUCUCAAAACCACUUUGUUAGCUUCCGCAUAUCAUCACCAAACUUACGAUUUCAACGCCUGAACAUUCUCCUCGUCGAUGAUUGAUGCAAACACGUGAAUGGACUUGACUCUCCUGGGCUGGAACACAUCAAAUGCUAUGGUAACGCUUUAUUUUUAGAAAAAGGGAUGUCUCUUUACAACUUACUUCUUGAAUAUGCCUGACUCGUGGUACUCUUGGAGACCUAAUCAAAAAAUAUGGUGGCAAUAAACCAAAAGAUAAUCUCAAGUGUUACAUCAAGAUGUUGCUUGAAGGCAUUCAUCGCAUCCAUGCAAAAGAAUAUGUCCAUUGCAACCUUAAACCCGAUAAUAACUAGUUUUUUCGUUACAAUUGAGAUGCUAAAGAUAGUUGAUUUUUGCCUGGUGAGUCAGAGAUAGAACCUUUGAUUUUAAACUUUCCAGGCACACCAUUUUACAUGCCACCCAAAUGUGGUACCACUAACAAAAUUAGUGUUGCGUUAGACAUAUGGUCCCUAAGUUGUGUUGUUCUUCAGAUGGUCAUCGUAAAACCACUAGAGGAAUUUCCGAUCAAGAUGGGGAUAUGGUGAUACAAACCAAAAAUAGUACCAAAGCAUGUCAAGUGAAGGGAAAGAUUUCUUGAUGACAUGCUUUGCAAGGAAGGCUAAUGAAAGGUGCAGUGUUGAGAUGUUAUUAAGUCAUCCUUUCCUAAUGGAUUUAAAGCCUACUGUCUAUGGGAAAUAUAAUCUACUGCAAAAACAAAUAUAUUAGCAUUGAUUGGGAAAAAAUAAUUAAAUAUGAAAUAAAAAAUUAUUGUCUCGUGGUAAAUCUAUCGCCUUAGAAACGAGUUCACUUUGAUCGGUGUAAUCGUGUAGUGGACGUCGUCCCCCAAAGUUAACACGAUUCUUCUAUAUUCGUACACCCAAAUAUAGAAUAUGGAACUCAACUGGUGUUGCUCUUCUCGGGAAAUCACAGUAGGAACAAUUUUCAGGAAAGUUUGGAGGGGUCACAAUUAGUCCCGCUUAAAACCCAAACUCUUAGACAGAAUUUUUUCUAAAAGUGAUUUGGGAAAAUUUGAAAAAUUUUAUAAAGAAAUUACGAAUAGAAAGCAAAGGAAAAAUGUUUUCACAAAGAGUUGUGUUUCUGUUGAGUGUGAACAAAGAGGAAAUCAACCAUCUAUUUAUACUAGUAACAAAAGGGCAAAACGGUAAAAAGACAUGGGCAAUUUUGUAAAAAACCCAUAACAAUAUCUCUACUAAAUCUUCAACAGUCCCCCGCUAAAUCCUUAACAAUCAUAAUUUUCUUUGCAUUAUCAACAAUCCCUCACUAGCGCAAAGUGAUUUUAAGAUUUUUUGAAAACACGAGAAAAAAUAGAGUUUUAUUUUACUUAAAAUAUGUGAGAAGAGCAAUAGUGAAAUUAGUUGCUUAAGCACUAGUAUUGAUACGAGCCAAGGAGGUGACACUCAAAGGGUUGUCUUUCCUAGUGGUCCAAUCACUCGAAGCAAGGCACGACAAUUAAAAUCAAAGAUGAAUGCUUUUGUCCAAGACUUUGUUGCGACAAAUUUAAUUCAUCAUGUUCGUGACAUUGAUAAAUAUGGGAAUGCAAUUCACUGGACCAAUCUUGGAAUAGUAAAAGCCCAUAAAUUGGUGGAUUAAUUUUUUAUGUAUCUUAUUAUUAUUAUUAUUUACUUAAUUCUCAUUGGUUGGGACACAUCAUUUAUGAGUUAAGUAAUUUUAUUGGUUAGGUUAUUAUUUAUUUAUUUUCUUAGAUAAUUUUAAAGAGUUUUAUUAGGAUUCAAUUACUCUUUAAAGAGUUUUUAUUAGGAUUCAGUUACUCUUGUAAUUUGCCUAUAAAUAGGCUUGUUUUCUACACAUUGAAAGAAGAAUAAAAAGAAGAGUAUUUGUUUUCUUUCAAAUUUGUGUGAGGCAAAUUUUUUUAGAGUAGAGUGAUUCUUCUCUUGCUAUUUAGUUUGGAGUUUGUUACUUUCGAGGGUAUUUUGGAGUUGCAAAUAUUCAAAUUUCUUUCCCGUUCAUCGGUGUUUCUAGAGGUUCUUCUUCUAGGGGUUUUGUAGGGAGCCGCUCAAUCAUUGGCGUUUUUGGUUACAAGUUAACCAAGGGUUCCAUAAGGCAAAUCUAUCCUUUUUAUUUAUUUAUUUAUUUAUUUAUUAUUUAACUAAUUUUAUUCUCGUUUUAUUUCUAAUUUGUGUUUCUCUUAUGUCUAGAUCCGGGUUCCGCAUCAGUUGGUAUCAGUUUCAGGCCAGUCGGUGUUAUUUUUGAAGCUAAAAUCAAAUCCGAAACGAGUCAAAAUACCAAAAACACUUUUCAUCGGUUUCGUCGAUUUUUUUUUUAAAAAAAGUUUGUGUUUAUUCUCCUCUUAUUCUUUAAAUAAAAGCAAAAAAAAAGAAAAAAACAGCAAAAAAAAAGCAAAAAGCGCAAAAGAAAAAAAGAAAAAAAAAGCAAAAAGCGCAAAAAAAAAAGUUGCCUACCUUUCAUACGUAGGUUUCUUCUUUUCCUAUUAUUGUUAUUAUUUUUAUUUUAUUUUUCCCAAAAUUGAAUUUUUUCCCCCUUCUUUUCUUGACUCAAGUAUAAUUAAAGCUUCAAUUUUUGAAAAUCUUAAGACACCAAACGUUUCCGAUUUUUUGUUUUCCUUUAAAUUGGGUAGAGUUUUCUUAAGUUUUCUUCUUAUUAAAGCUUUUCUUUGACUCUAGAGUUAGGGAUCGUUGCAAGUCUACGUUUUUUUUUCUCUUACGCUUUCUAACACAUUGUUUCUUCUUGUGUUAGUAGAUAUUAAAGGCACGCACAAUUCCUUCAUCCGUGUAGCCUCCUUUACAAAUUGCAUCGUCAAGUUUAUUGGCCUCUUAAAGCAAUUAGGAUCUUCAUUGUUUCUUUGAAGUUUGCACCUCCAUUAUUUGAUCUUGAUUAGUAACCCUCUCCAAACAUAUUUACAAGUUUUGAAUCAUUCAGAGAGUUAUUCUUUUAAGAGCUAACGAGUGAGGUUAUUAUUAUUAUUUUCUUGUUCCUGUUUGUGUGAUUUUUUCACAGAUACCAUGCCGAUCACUAGAUCCCAAACUAGUAAAAAUGAAGAGGAUGAGCAAAAAAGAGAUAACGAUCCUUUGGUCGAGUUGUUACAAAAAGAGAUGAAAAAGUUGCAAACUCAAGUCGAACAUCGCAUGACCCAGAUGAUACAAGAGCAAAGGGAGUAUCUUGAUACAAAACUUACAACUCAAGAGAGAUACAUUGUCGAUAAUUACAAGAAGUUGAACGAAGCCUUUAUAAGCCGAUCAAAUUCGCGCGAUCGAACUUUUAAACGAAGGGAGGACCAUGUUUUUUAUGAUGACUUUGAGUCCGAGUAUGUACCUAGAGAAAGGGUGGAACGAAACAAUGACACCCCCAAACCAAAAUUUCCUUCUUUCUCAGGGAAGAAUGAUCCUGAUGCUUACCUUGAUUGGGAGGAAAAGAUGGAAGCAAUAUUUGCUUGUUACAAUUACUCUGAUGAGAAGAAGGUAACAUACGCUGUCGCUGAGUUCAUUAAUUAUGCACUAACAUGGUGGAAUCAAUUAUGUAAAAGCAGGAUUCUUUAUAGAGAGCAACCUGUUACUACUUGGGUUGAAAUGAAGCGCAUCUUACGAAAACGGUUUGUUCCACCAUACUAUUAUCAAGAACUCCAUCAAAGACUCCAACAUCUUGUUCAAGGAGAUAGAUCUGUGGAUGAUUACUACAAAGAGAUGGAGACUAUUCAGAUUAGAGCCAAUCUUGUUGAAGAGGCUGAGGUAACUAUGGCUAGAUUCCUUGCCGGCCUAAAGCCUGAGAUUGCAAAUCGAGUUGAGUUACAACACUACAUGGAUGUUGAAGAGAUGCUUCAAAUUGCACUCACCAUUGAAAAGCAAUUACGAAAGAAAGGGACACCAAGAGGUGCUAGUUCAGUUUCUAAUCCUGCUUGGAGAGAAAAUUGGCAAAAACAAGAUGAUAGAUUGUGGAAUGGGAGAGAUGCACGGUUCAAGCCAAAUGAGCCUAGAACUUACUCCAAAGAUAGAGGUAUGCCUAGUUCAUUUAAAGGUUCUACUUUUACUAAUCAAGCUCCAUCUUAUUCUUCUACUUCUCCUAGUGCCAUUAAGCAGCCAAAAGAUAUUACCUGCUUCAAAUGCCAAGGAAUGGGUCACUAUGCUCGAGAAUGCCCUAAUAAAAAGUCAUUGGUGAUUCGAGAAGAUGGCGAGGUUGAUUUUGAGUCUGAUAACGAAGAUGAGAUGCCUCUUUUGGAAGAUGCUGAUGAUGUGCAUGCUCAUGAUGAGUAUGAAGAAUACUUGGAGUAUGGUGAGAAAGCACUUGUUGCUCAAAGGGCUUUAAAUGUCCAGUUUAAAGAGGAAGGGCGUGAACAAAGAGAUAACAUUUUCCACACGAGAUGUUUGAUUGGUGGACAACCUAGUUCAUUGAUCAUCGAUAGUGGAAGUUGCACCAAUGUGGUGAGUUCUUCGCUUGUUGAGAAACUUGGCCUACCUUGUGUGAAGCAUCCAAGGCCAUACCGCUUGCAAUGGCUGAAUGAUAGUGGGGAGGUAAAAGUAUCUAAACAAUGCUUAGUUUCAUUUUCCAUUGGUAGAUACUCUGAUAAAGUUUUGUGUGAUAUUGUUCCAAUGCAAUCUGGGCACAUAUUACUUGGACAACCAUGGCAGUUUGAUUGACGAGUAAAUCAUGAUGGUUUCGUUAACCAAUAUACUUUUGUAUUCCUUGGAAAGAAGUUUACUUUGGCUCCACUUCCUCCUCAAGAAGUCUACAAUGAUCAACUCAAACUUGCUAGUGAGAUGGGUAAGGGAAGUAAGGUAAAAUCAUUGAAAAAGGCUAAAAGUAAAGAGGCCCUUAGUGUUAAAAGCCAACUUAAAGGCCCAACAUUGGUGAGUGAUUGCACACACAAGUCACGAGAUGAGAAAGUGAGUUUAUUCGCUAGGUUUUGAGAUAUCAAAUUUGCUCCUUGUACAAAACAAACAUUUGUAAUUAUUAGGUUCAGGGAAAACUUCGUUUUGACUAACCCUAAUACACAUUUGCCUAGUUAUUUUGUUAAUCUUUUACAGGAUUUUGAGGAUGUAUUUCCUUCUAAGAGAAAGAAUAAACUUGAAGCACGAGGAGAUGGACCAUUCCAAGUACUCGAGAAAAUAAAUGACAAUGCUUAUCGCAUUGAUCUUCCUGGUGAGUAUAGUGUUAGUGCUACUUUCAAUGUUUCUGAUCUUUCUCCUUUUGAAUUUGAUGUAGGUUCAGAUUCGAGGACGAAUCUUCUUGAAGAGGGGGAGAAUGAUACGAGCCAAGGAGGUGACACUCAAAGGGUUGUCUUUCCUAGUGGUCCAAUCACUCGAAGCAAGGCACGACAAUUAAAAUCAAAGAUGAAUGCUUUUGUCCAAGACUUUGUUGCGACAAAUUUAAUUCAUCAUGUUCGUGACAUUGAUAAAUAUGUGAAUGCAAUUCACUGGACCAAUCUUGGAAUAGUAAAAGCCCAUAAAUUGGUGGAUUAAUUUUUUAUGUAUCUUAUUAUUAUUAUUUACUUAAUUCUCAUUGGUUGGGACACAUCAUUUAUGAGUUAAGUAAUUUUAUUGGUUAGGUUAUUAUUUAUUUAUUUUCUUAGAUAAUUUUAAAGAGUUUUAUUAGGAUUCAAUUACUCUUUAAAGAGUUUUUAUUAGGAUUCAAUUACUCUUGUAAUUUGCCUAUAAAUAGGCUUGUUUUCUACACAUUGAAAGAAGAAUAAAAAGAAGAGUAUUUGUUUUCUUUCAAAUUUGUGUGAGGAAAAUUUUUUUAGAGUAGAGUGAUUCUUCUCUUGCUAUUUAGUUUGGAGUUUGUUACUUUCGAGGGUAUUUCGGAGUUGCAAAUAUUCAAAUUUCUUUCCCGUUCAUCGGUGUUUCUAGAGGUUCUUCUUCUAGGGGUUUCGUAGGGAGUCGCUCAAUCAUUGGCGUUUUUGGUUACAAGUUAACCAAGGGUUCCAUAGGGCAAAUCUAUCCUUUUUAUUUAUUUAUUUAUUUAUUAUUUAACUAAUUUUAUUCUCGUUUUAUUUCUAAUUUGUGUUUCUCUUGUGUCUAGAUCCGGGAUUCCGCAUCAAGUAUCUUGUGGAUUUGAACUUGUUAAGAUAGGAGUUAACUCAUGACACAACUAAUCUUGGAUCCAAUUAAAGUUCCGCGAUAACUCAAGAAGUUUUAGCCAACAUACUUCUGGAUACUUGUGAGUGCUCUAGAAAAACUGCCCAAAAUGGUUUUCAUAGAAAGUGGCUAGUCAUUUACACUUACGUAGGUGAUUUCAUCAGGCCUAUCUCAAUAUAGACCACUCAUAUUAAGGCUAUGAAAUCAUUAAGAGCUUUCAUUAAGCUCAUCCUCUUAAAUUUAAGUUCGGUGAAUUCAUCAAAUCAAUCUCAAUAGGACCACCCAAACUUUGGGAUAUGAACUCAUUAAAAGUAACAAACUUAACCUCUCAAGUCAGUGAAUUCAUCCAAUUCGUCUCAAUAGGACCACCCAAAAUCUGGGCUAUAAAUUCAUUAAGAGUAAAAACUCAGCCUUAUGCAUGUACAUCAUUCGCCAUAAGGAUAGGUAAAAUGUACACUGUGAGUCUUUUCAUGGUUUCAUUUGACCAUGUUAAACUUAGAAACCCACCAUGAAUUCCACAACCAUUGGGCUUAAGACCCAUCCCUCUCGAUGAAUCAAGAACCAUUUUCCUACUUAACCCUUUGGUUUGUAGAUUAAUUAGGUUCCCUUCAAACCUCACGUACUUCAAAGCGAGUACUCUAUUCUUUAUUAAAUGUCUUACAGAUUCAUGUCUUAUUCGAAUAUGUCUCUUCUUACCAUUGUAAGUUUGACUCCUACAAACACAAAUUGCAGUUUACAAAUCACAUAAUAAAGAUACGGGAGGUACUGGUUUUUCCCAUAUAGGAAUCUCUACAAAUAGAUUUCUGUUUUUCCCAUAAACUCUGACUCCAUCGUAGAGUGAGCAAUACAAGUCUGUUUAGUAGACUUCCACGAAUUGGUUGCUCCACCCAAAAUAAAGACAUACCCAUUUAUAGAGCUUACCUCAUCAUUAUUAGUUACCCCGUUUGCAUCAUAAUAGCCUCAAAGGACUGCAGGGUAGCCAAAAAAUUCAAACUCCCAAGUUAAAGUACCUUUAAGGUAUUUAAGCAAACGUUUUAAAGCAUUUAAAUGCUCAUUGCUCAGAUUAUGGGUAUACCUACUUAGUCUAUUAACCGCAUAAGCAAUGUCCCGUCGAGUGUAGUUCAUCAAGAACAUAAGACUCUAAUAAUCUUUGCAUACUCUAAUUCAAAAAUAUUGUUUUGUCUAUUCUUUAACAGUUGUAUGCUAGAAUCAUAAUGAGUUCUCACAGGAUUACAUCAAAACUAUUAAACCUUUUUAACACUUUCUCUAUAUAGUGAGAUUGGUUUAAUGAAAAUCACUUUUCUAAUUUUGUAACUUUACCAGCUAAUAUCACAUCUACCUCUCCCAAAUCAGUCAUUUCAAAUCUGGUAGAUAAGAAAUUCUUGGUUUUACUAAUAGCUUCUAUAUUAGAACUGAAAAUUAACGUGUCAUCUACAUACAGGCUUAUGAUGACACAAUCAGAUCUAAACAUUUUGGAAUAUACACAUGCAUCUAAACUUUAAUGCCUCAAAAUUUUAAUUUUGGGUAUUGUGAAUGUGUGACACAAAUAUCUGUCUGCUUUAGUGGUUAUGUGUUCUGAGUGUGUUUGGGAGGUCCCAAGUUCAAGCUAGGACUUGGGUAAAUUUUGGUAUUUUUAUGAAUAAUCCCUAUCUUUGGUCAGUAGGCUUUUAAGUAAAAGUUGGCAAAUAAUUAACAGAAUGGGCCUGCUAGUCUGAUGGAUAAGUGGAGUGUUGGUGUGAAGGAGGUCUUCUGUUCGAAUCUUGGCCUGGGUAUUAUUUUUGCUCGUGCGUCUAAGAAAGUUUAAGAUGGACUAAAAAUCUGAGUAGUGGAUUUAGUAGGGAGUUUGAUGGGGAGAAAUAAGGGAUUGGGGUGGUUAUUAAAUAUUUUGUUCAUCUUUUUUUCCCUUUUUUUACUUUCCCCAAAAUCCCUCAACCCUCUUGUCGUUUUUCUCUUCAUUUCUGCCGAAUUUCUGCUCUCUUUCACCCUUCAUCUUCUUGAUUUUUCUUUUCCCACUCUACCUCGUGUCUCUCCACGUCUGUCUGCGAUCGUUCGAUAAGUUUUAGAUAAGUGGUUUGUCUCCGUUUGUUAACCUUAUUCUAAAGUGUUUUAUUUAUGCCAAUUAGAGGAGGAUUCAAUGGCUCGUAAUCACCAAUCGGAGUCUUAGUUUGUGUGGGAAUUACUGUUCAUCAGUUGAAGGUAAGGUUUGUCGCUUAUGGGUUAAAACCUCGAUACGAGUUCGAUUUGGGAUCACGUUAUGUGAGAUUAAAUUAGUGUUAUUUGUUCAAUUAUAGGCUUUUGAUUACUCAGGAACUAUUUAAGCAUCAAACAAAACCAGGUGUGUACCCGAAACGCAAAAAAAAGGGAUUCAACAAAAAGCCGAAAUUGCUUACUGUUUAGACAGCAGCAGUAGGCUAACUUUGAAAAUUAACCAUAAAUUAUGGAAAUCAAAUUAGAGGAUGAACAAAAUAUGGAAUUAAAUAUUAUUGAGUCUAGUUUCUCAUAGAAGAAACGGUGUAAGUAAUGGAAUUUUAAAUCGUGAGGUAUAAUAAACUUUGUGAGACAAGGUAAGAUUGAAUUCGGGUUCCCCUGUUCUGAAUUUGAAAAAUCAUCAAAAAUUGGAUAAAAAUAAUUAGGGGUUAAAAUUUACAUGUUUCAAUUAUUCUAUCUUCAUUAGAAACAAAUGGUAACAUCAUCCAAAUUUUGUAUUAAGAGAUAAUUAAUUUUUAGCACAGAAAGGUCGAAGCUGUCAGACAGCAGAACAUGGGUAAGAUUGAAGAUUUUACUGUACUUAUUGGCUAAACCAAAAAUUUUGAAAAUUUUAUGGUAGAAAGGUAUUUGAGUCUAGUUUCAAAUACAUCAAGCGGACCUUAAUUUGGAAUUCAGUAGCUCAAGAUAUAAAUAAUUUAGUAAUAGUGACUCAAGUAGACAGCUUUGAAAAAAUAUAUAAAUAAAUAGUGAAAACAUAUAUGAAUAUUUAGCUAGCACUGGUUACAUUAAAAAUGGACCACGCAGCCAAGGUCAAUUUGGGCCGAGUGGGCCACAUGGGAGUGUGGGCCCACAUGGGCAGACCACAUGGGCGUAUGAGUCCAUUAUCACUAAAUUGAUUGCUAAGGUUACACGGGUCGCCCAAGUCGACUGUAAACCUACUAUAGGGUCAGUAAGCAUCACUUAGACUCUUAAUUGUAUGAACUGACUAUUUGAUUUAUAUAUGUGUUGAUCAUGAUGAUAGUAUGCUUGUAUACUGAACUGGUUAUAUGUACUGAUGUCCUGAGAUAGCAUGUCAUGACUUGUAUGUUACAUUGCAUGGGGUGGGGUUAAUUAUAUUUGGAGAAAGUGUACUGAAAGGCUCUUAACCCUAACAUACUGGCAGCUCAGCUGCAAAUUACUUUUUUUGCCGCAUUCGAUACUACCUGGAGUGUAGGGAUAGGUGGGUUGAUUUGAUCCCCACAUGGAGUGUAGGGUUGGACGGAGAUGGUAUGUAGAGGCUGGUUGGGUAGGACUUUGUUACUGAAUACUGCAUGACUGCAACUGAUAUUGUGAUCGGCUAAGGCCCUACUGCAUAUUUGAUAUUGUACUAAGAUAAGCUAAGGCCCAAACUGUUACUGAUACUGAAAAAGGGCUUAGGCCUAGGACUGCUUUAACUGUGCACAGUGAUUUGCUAUUGUUUGUUUUCUGUGGGAUUAUAUACUGGGUUUUCGUAAACUCACCCCUUUUGUUUAAAUGUGCACAGGUAAUCCCUAGAUUUAAACGGAUCGGUACGGCGGAGGACUCGACGGUGACCACGGUUUUGGACUUUCAUGGUUUUUAACCCGUAUUUUCGAUAAUUGGUUUUAUUUCUAUUCUAUUUUUACUGGCUAAGUUUUUGGGUUGUAAUUGGACUUUCAGACUUUGGUUUUGGGUUUUAAUUAUCUUUAUUUUAUGGAUUACAAUUGCUAGUAGUAGGAAAUCUCAGUUUUCAAAAGAAAUAAAUGUUUUUCCUAAACGCACAAUUGUUUAAUCUGUUUUAAAAGCUUCCGCAAACGAAUAACGUUUUGAAACUAUCGAUUAAAUGAGCAACACAAUUUUGGAACUAAUAAGAUAUUAAGAUAAGGAAUUCAAUGGAAAUGGUUUUAACGCGACGACACGGUUUUCAAACAUCCUAUCAUGUGACAUCACUAGAUCCGACCAUAACGUCUAGGCCGAGUUUGGGGUGUUACAUAAACCAUUAACUAUAAAACCAAAACUGAGAAUGGUCUUAUUAUAUUUAUUGUACCAUUUUUUUGGAGCUUGUUUGGGACAGUACGGAGAUUUUUUUGAGUCUGCAAACUUUAUCUUCUAUACCAGGUGCCACAAGUCCUAGAGGUUGCUCCAUAUAUAUCUCUUCAUCCAAGUCACCAUUCAAGAAAGUUAUCUUUACAUCCAUCUGGUGUACUAGCAGAUUAUGAAUGGAAUCUAAUGCAAACAACACACAAAUGGUAGAGAUUUUAGUUACAGGAGAGUAAGUAUCAAAAUAAUCUACUCCAAAUUUCUGAGUAAACCCUUUAACCACUAGUCUUGCCUUAUACUUUUGUAUUGACCUAUCUAGUCUAAGUUUCUUUCUAAAUACCUAUUUAUUACUAAUAGGUUUAAAACCUUUAGGAAAGUGUACUAAUUCACAAGUGUUAUUAGACAUAAUAAAUUCAAGCUCAUUAUUAAUAGCAUCUCUCCAAAAACUAGCAUCUAUAGAAUUUAUGGCUUCAUCAUAAGUUUUUGGAUCCUCAUCUAUCAAAAAAGAAUGAGCGAUAGAAUCAUUUAUUAAGUCUAAAUCAUUAACCUCAGUUAUAAAAGAAGUAAGAAAAUCAUGUCUGAAACUAGUGGCAGUCCUUUGUCUUUUACUUAUCCUAGGUUCCACAUCAUCAUUAAGAAUAUCUCUAUUAUGUGUACUAGAAGAAAAAACAUGCUCAUCUAAUUGUAUAUCAUGAUUUACAUCAAAUUUCUUUAAAGGAACAAUAUUUCCAAAGAAGAAAGCAUCUCUAGAUUCACAUAUGGAAUAAUCAUGCAAAGACAUAAAUCUAUGUGGAGCACUGUUCAAAGCAUAACCAACAAAAAAUAACAUCAAUAGUUUUAGACCCAAUAGUGUUCUGUUUAGAAAUAGGUAUGCCUACUUUUGCUAGGCACCCCCACGCUUUCAAGUAUUGUUUUAUUAAGGGCAUAACCUUUCACAAUUCGUAUGGGGUACAAUCUAAUUUUUUAUGAGGCACUCUAUUAAGGAUGUGAUUCGCAGAGAGUACGACCUCCACCCACAUGUGAUCAGGUAAACCAGAACUAAGUAGUAAAUUAUUCAUCAUUUCUUUUAGAUUUUUGUUUUUCAUUUCAGCUAUGUCAAUUUGUUGUAGAAAAUAGGGAGCUCAAAAUUCAUAUAUAAUUUCAUCUUUCUCACAAGCCUCUUUAAGGCAGUUAGUGUCAUACUCGCCCCCUCUUUAUAGAAUUUUCUCUAAAAGUAAUUUGGGAAAAAUCGACAAAUUUUAUAAAGAAAUCGCGAAUAGAAAGCAAAAGAGAAAAAUGUUUUUCAGAGAAGGUUGUGUAUCUGUUGGGUGCGAAAAAAGAGAAAAUUAACCAUCUAUUUAAACUAGUAACAGAAUGACAAAACGGUAAAAAAAAAAAAAAGAGCAAUUUUGUAAAAAACCCAUAAUAAUAUUUCCAACAAUAUCUCAUAAUUGUUUUCUUCCGUUCAUGGAACAACUUGAAGAAAUGAUUCCAAGGUUUCUAUCCAAAAAAUAAUAAUAGAGAUAUAGAGAAGGGUGGCAUGCUUUAUGAUGAAUUAAAAUAAGGCAUAGUAUUUGUUUAAUGGUUGAUUGGAGUAUAAACUAAUCGCAUGCUUCUUAGUUAUAGAUUAAUUAUAAUUGGUAAUUUUUAUUCACUUACAUAAUUUGUUUGUGGCAAAAAAAUGAAAAUUUUUUGUUUGUUUUGAAAAGGUUUAUUUUUAUACGAAUUUUUACCCAUAUUUCUAACUACAUGUUUAAAUUUGAACUAAAUAUUUUUUAUUUUAUGUACUUCUAUUUUAAAAAAUAUGUGGUAAAUAUUUUUUUUCAGGUGUCUAUUAUUAAUACAUGAAAUUCUGAAAUAUAAAACUCCCAUUACAUUAUUCAGAUCAAGAUUCUCCAUUGAAUGCUUAGACCACUUUAACUUUCAACUGGUAGACAAAGGGAAUGGAAAUAGAGUAUUACAUGAAAACUAGUGAACUAAUAUCAUAUAGGAGUAGGACAGAAAGUAAGAAGUGAUUUCAAUAGCCAUUUUAUACCCAUUAAUUAAUAUCAGAGAAUUAGUUGUCUAAUUCCUUCCAGGAAUGGGUGGAAAAGGGAGCCCUGGAAGGGGUGGCAGA
rnacentral:lncRNA from 1 species